rnacentral:lncRNA from 1 species
UAUCGUCGUAGAAGCUGUUCCUUUGAAAGAUUAUGGUUCUCGGGUAUCCAAUCAAUUCAUCCUCCAAACCGGGGAAGCUUCAGCGGAAAUGAAAUUGUAGGGUUCGGGAAGGGGGAAGCUCCAGGAAGGCUUCGCUCUAACGCUCGUUUACGAGUGGAGUGCAUAAGCCCUUAUUGAAGUAGGGCGAGGCCUUACUACACGAGCUCGUAAGUCAAGCACGGAACGAGCCUUGUCUACGAAGCUUCGCUUCCUCAUCUUGCUUGCUUCUGGCGAAGCUUAACGCACUAUAACAUAGGCAUGAUGGUAUGGUAGGAAGACUCCUUUUAAGGCCGACCACUACAAUUGAGCGAUAGCGAAGCCAAGCCGUCAAAAGGCGAGCAGCCCUUAUAGCAAUAGCAAACGGCCUACUUAUAGCCCUAUUUAUCCCCGGCACUUUAUUCGGGGACUGAAACGGGCCUUACAAGCUCAUCAAAUUGCAAUUCUUCACCUUUUCCUCAUACAGUUGGAAUGAAUUCUAUUACUUGAUUGACAUUGACAGAUAUGUGUACCACACCGAACAAGCAAUAUGCCGAUAUGCUUGAUGUACCAGCCAAGCCAGCUCGACCGUAUACAGUAUUUUUGAUUCGCCUUUGCCUCAGACAGAAGAACAACGGAUUGAACAGGACAGGACAAGCGGGAAGCCUGACAUAGAUAUAGAUUUGAACAAAGGAACUUUAACCGGUACCAAAAAAUAGAGAUGGAAUUCCAGAUUGAACAGAUGACCGACCUACAAUAAGACGAAAAUGGAAUUCUCAAUUCCAUUCUCUAAGACGAACUAAAGGGAUGUCUCUAAGCAGCCAAGGCCAAGAGCAAGCUAGGAGUAGCCUAGAAGGAUUCGAUAAAGAGAAUGUGAGUGGGCAGGAGAUCAAUAGACACAGAAAGAGAAGACCAAAAGGAGCAGAAGGCACUCAGUUGUUUAUGUGAAAUCAAGGAGCAGCAGGUUACACUUUGCCACUUUCCCGAAGAGAGCUCGAAGCAAUUUCAUGAAAGAUGAGAAAUGCUAGUAGAUGAAAGAUGGGAUGAGAUGCUAGCCUUAGCGCAGAAGAUCAAUCAUUGAGCCUUAGGCCACUACCGAGCAGCAAUGGAGGAUCAUAACACUUGAGAGAUGAUCCCUACUUGAAAAGGCGGAGACAAUACCUCUUGUUGCGACAAAUCUUUUUUCAAAAGCCCAAUAGUUGGCGGAGGGCACGCCGGUACAAAAAAGGAGCCAUCAGAAUCAGACCCGUUUUGGUCUCCUUUUUCACAAUAAACAUGGGCUGAUGACAUGGUUUCUUAGAGGAUUCCUUAAUCAACCAAAACCUGCAACAAACAGAGUCCUGUCUUUCUACCACUUACAAGUUGAGAGAUCUUCCAUUCCCAAUGGCAGAAGAAGGAUGCAAGCUGGAAGGACUUGGACAAGAUAUUCUGAACUUGGACAGGAGAUGCAGCGCGCUUAGCGUCGGACCCUCUACAUGGGUGUGUGUGCUAUAAAACAAGGAGAAGAACAGAACUAUACGGAUCAAUUCACGGUCCAAACGAGCUUCCAGUUCUUCUGGAUUGCUAACGUGGUUCGAUGAGGCCUCUGGAAGGAACCACNACUCUAAGAAGAUAUAAACUUAAGCAACAAAUUAAUGAUAAACAUACGGAGGAGUACUGAAGACAAUGCCGAAAGCCUUGUUUUCGUCGGAAUUCGAUAGAGACAUAAUUUCCGCACCCGUCUUCUUAUGUCUAUAAAGAACAGCAUGCGAAUAGUACUCUUUGAUCCUCUUUUCAGAUAGCUUCUCAAAUCCGAGCUUUUCGGCAACAUCAUGGGUGUCAUUUCCCUCUCCUAGAAGGCAUAGCAAUAUUAUAUAUGUACAUGGUUCCACAAUCAAAUCUAUGUAAAAAUGGAAGCGGGGACCAAAAAAUUUACCUCUCCUAGAAGGCAAAGCUAUAUGUACAUAGUUUACACAAUCAAAUCUAUGUAAAAGUUGAACGAAAAAAAAAAAAAAAAAAAAUCACCUCUCCUAGAAGGCAAGGUAAUAUAUGUACAUGGUUACACAACCAAAUCUAUGUAAGAAUUGAAGGGGAAAAAAAAUUUGGGGUAUAUAUAUCCACAAUGUGUGAUAAAAUCUUUACAAACUCAUCAAAGAUUAAUGGAUGAUUAAUGAAUGCAUGAGCGAUAGAAGUUAAAAAAUAAAAAAAAAAAAUUAACCGCAAUUAUCAGAAAAUAGGAAAAAUGGAAAAUGAACAAUCGUUACCAGAAACUAGGAAUUAGAAAAACGAGUGGGUUUUCGAGAGGAUCAACUCUCUCUCUCCACCUCUCUGCGGCGUUUGAUCACAGCCACGAGGCCGGGGUCGACACUUCCCAAGGACUGUUUUCUUAAAUAACUCGAUAAAAUUUUAUAAUUAGCAAAACAGUCCAAUAAAAAAUUUAUUUGGCUAAAUAAACCUUCUUUUGCCUGUCACAGUAGAUAAAUAUAUCAAAAAGGGUGAAUCGUGAUCACUGAUAAUUAAUAGGGCUCCUAAUAAAUAUGAUAAAAUUGACGACUCGUUUAGGGCAUCUUUAUUUAGUUGAUCGAAACUGAAUUUUGGGUUGAAAUAGAGUUCGGUAAAAAGUACUUCAUUCUUACUAUUUGCUUCCUAGUUAUAAAAGUAAAUUUUUUUUUUAAUUCUGCUGAUUGUCUGACAGAGUCUCAACCGUAUUUUUAUUAUGGUAAAACUAACAGCAAAGAUGAUCAUUUACGGACAAAAACGACUUCAUCCUUUUUUACUUUCAUCCAAAUAAACAUGUUUUUAUUCUAUUCAAGCGUCACUUUCUAAAUUUUCUAUCAAAAUAAUAAAUUAUUCACCGUUUUUCUAAAAUAGAGAAUAAUUUACCACUUUACUUGAACAUAAACUGUAAAUAAAUAUUUAAGGUGUCAAAGAGAAGGAAGUCACCGAUGGUCUCUGCAUGCAAGAUGCAUUGUUGUCCAUCAAUUCAUACGGAAAAUUCUACUUUAUAUAUAUCCAAAAAAAAAACAAAAAUAGAGAAAUCGUCCCUAGAGCAAAUAGUAAAGGGCUUGGUGGUUGGUACUCGAGACCCAAAUUUGAAUUCUAGUUGAUUCACAUUUUUAGCUAAGUUUAUUUUUAAAUAAACGAAACUGAUAGCGUGCAACCUAUUUCUAAAAAAAUAAUAAUAAUAAUAAAGAAACCGCUCUGUUUGGGGCCGGAUGGGCGCCGUGUGGCGCCUCGGCGCUCAUCGCCUCUACUGCUGCCCCUGAGGAGCAGUGGGAAUUUUUUGGUGCACCCGGUGCGCCAUAAUUUAUUUUUAAAAAUUGUAUUUUUAAAAUUUUUAAAAAUUAGUGAAAUAUAUAUUUAUGAGAUGGAAAAAUAUAUCUAANAUAUAUCCACAAUGUGUGAUAAAAUCUUUACAAACUCAUCAAAGAUUAAUGGAUGAUUAAUGAAUGCAUGAGCGAUAGAAGUUAAAAAAUAAAUAAAAAUUAACCGCAAUUAUCAGAAAAUAGGAAAAAUGGAAAAUGAACAAUCGUUACCAGAAACUAGGAAUUAGAAAAACGAGUGGGUUUUCUUAAAUAACUCGAUAAAAUUUUAUAAUUAGCAAAACAGUCCAAUAAAAAAUUUAUUUGGCUAAAUAAACCUUCUUUUGCCUAUCACAGUAAGAUAAAUAUAUCAAAAAGGGUGAAUCGUGAUCACUGAUAAUUAAUAGGGCCCCUAAUAAAUAUGAUAAAAUUGAUGACUCGUUUAGGGCAUGUUUAUUUAGUUCAUCGAAACUGAAUUUUGGGUUGAAAUAGAGUUCGGUAAAAAUUAUUCCUCUCUUACUAUUUGCUUCAUAGUUAUAAAAGUAAUUUUUUUUUAAUUCUGCUGAUUGUCUGACAGAAUCUCAAUCGUAUUUUUAUUAUGGUAAAACUAACAGCAAAGAUGAUCGUUCAUGGACGAAAACGACUUCAUCCUUUUUUACUUUCAUCCAAAUAAACAUGCUUUUAUUCUAUUCAAGCGUCACGUUUUAAAUUUUCUACCAAAACAAUAAAUUAUUCACCGUUUUUCUAAAACGGAGAAUAAUUUACCACUUUACUUGAACAUAAACUGUGAAUAAAUAUUUACAUGUCAAAGAGAAGGAAGUCACUUCCGUCUCUCGCAUGCAAGAUGUUCCUAGAGCAAAUAGUAAAGGGCUUGGUGGUUAGUACUCGAAACCCAAGUUUGAAUCCUAAUUGAUUCAUAUUUCCAGCUAAGUUUAUUUCUAAAUAAAAUAAACGAAGCGGGUAGUGUGCUACCUAUCUCUUAAAAAAUAAUAAUAAUAAUAAUAAAGAAACCGCCCCAUAUAAGUCUGUUUGGGGCCGGAUGGGGAUGGGCGCCGUGUGGCGCAUUGGCGCUCGUCGCCUCUACUGCUGCCCCUGAGGAGCGGUCGGAAUUUUUUGGUGCACCCGGUGCGCCAUAAUUUAUUUUAAAAAUUAUAUUUUUAAAAUUUUUAAAAAUUAGUGAAAUAUAUAUUUAUGAGAUGGAAUAAUAUAUCUAAAAAGAAUUAGAGCUUAAAAUUUAAAAUUUAGAAUAUAGAUUUUAGGACUUGGAAUUCUCGGAUUUAAAGUUUAGGUUUUAUAAUUUUUAAUAAAAUCAUAUUAAUUAUUAUAUUAUAUUAUAUUUUAAAAAAUUCAAAAAUAAAUUUUUUUAAAAAAUAAAGAUGCAUCAGGUGGACGGAAUAAUUACCCGCUGCUCUCACAACUGGAAGAGCCGGAGCCCAUUUUUGAUGGGCCCUGCAUGCCUCCCAUGCCAUAUAUUAUAAAUUUUUAUUAUUUAAAUUUCAGGCUAAUUUAUAUGUAGAAAGAUAAAUUUUAAUUAUUUAAAUUUUAAGCCAAUAUAAAUAUACAGAUAUCUAUAGUACUUGUAUACAUUUUAAUUUUUAAUUUUUUAAUAAGUUAUCUAUUAAUAAAAAUGACGAUCUAAUUUACUGUUCGAAAGUUUAAUUGCAUUCACAUCGUUAAUAAAUAAGCCGGACACGAACUAAAUUUUAAUUUCAGCUUAAUAUUUUGACGAGACAGAGCUGAUCCCAACCCACGUGAACUUGUAUAAAGAAUUAAGGAAACGAAAUACUUACUCAAAUCUACGGCGAGCCCCUCGGCUUUUUGGCUCCCGAGCGGCGUUUCCAUCGCCGAAGCGAUCGAUCAGAGUUAGUUGCUGAUUCGAUCUCUUCGUACUACAACGUUGUUCAGAAACACGUACACGCACUGUGAGAGAGAGAGAGAGAGAGAGAGAGAGAGAGAGAGAGAGAGUGAGUGAGUUAUGGGUUUUGAAGAGGAGUUAUGAAAUGGGAGAGAAGGCCACGUUGAGACGUUGAGUUGGUCAUAUAUAUAUAUAUACUAGUGCAGGUACUCGCACGUUGCAGCGAAUAGCUAUUGUUGUAGUAUAAUUAUAGUUUUUAUUUAUUUUUUUAUCCUUAGUAAGCUCUAGAGUAUUAUUUUUUUUAGUCUUUUCUGUUACAAAUUAUUGUGUCUCUACAGUAAGAAAAUAAAUUUUUUUCUAUACUUACUACUUACAAUAUAACUGUAUAAAUUAAUCAAUUAAAGUUUUACAUAUCUAAUUAUAUUAUCAGCUACAGCAGAAUAAAGAAUGAAUAAUACACUAAUAGAGUAAAAUAUGUACUGAUUUACUGUCUCAUUUGACUAUACAUCUUUUGAUACAUGUUGUUUUACUUUCUAUAUAUGAAUAGAGAAACUAUUUAGAAACCAAGCCAAAUAUCACUAACUUGAAAAUCAUUUGAGAAGUUCAUAUUCUGAAUUAUUUGUGAAAAAAACUGAAAAAUGUGAAGAUCAAAUCUUAUUUAAUAUAGCAUCUCAGUGGAAAAAUAUAAAAUAUUGACAUCUCAAAAAAAUUUAAACAAACAUUUAUGCUAUAUACUUAAUCACAUAAUAUAUGGCAAAAUUUUUAUGGGACAGUUUUGCUAAGAAAGAUAUUUAUUAUGUAUAUGGUCUAUAAGGACAGAUGAUAUAAACCUCAUACUUCACUCAAGAGUAAAUUAUUUUCCAUACUAAAUAAGAAAUGUCACUGAAGAAAUUUUAAUGCAAAAAUUAAGGAAAGAUACUAACUAAAGGAAUUCAAAAUUUUUUAAUUUUUCAGUUGUAAGGAAAGACUCUACUGCAAAAAAUAAAGAAAACUCUAAUUUAAUUGUUGUCCCUAUUAAAUAAGAAAUUUCACUGAAACAAAUCUGACGCAAAAAAUAAGAUAAGACUCUAACUAAGGGAAUUUGAACUAAUAUAUAGAUGUCUCAAUUUAUAACAAUGAAAUAACCAGGCUACUUAAAGAUUAAACUCAAUACUAUAGCAGCUACACAUUUCAAAUUUAGGUAUGCUGGAAAUAAUAAAGUCACAAAUUUGCCUUUAUAAAUUAGCAGAAGCAAUAAAACAAAAAUAGAACAAUCGUAGAAGAUUGUAAGGACUGAGAUUUUGAUAGUGCAAUUAAACUCUCUAUUGAUGAUGUUUAUAUGUGUAAUUUAAUUAUAUAAGCACUCGUCAAGUUUCAGGAGAAAACGAGUUAGAACGGAGAUGUUACGCGAUCUUUAUUUUUUCACUUAAGUGAAUAGUAAUUUGGUUUUUCCAGUGAAGCCACGUUGUGAAGUUGGCUUUAGGCUCGUAUCGGACUCCGUUCAUAGCAGUCCAAUAGCUCGUUUCGACCGGUUCAGCUAUUCUGGAACUACUGGCCCUGACGGAUUUUGAGUUUGACGCACGGAUUUCAAGAAAAUCCAAAAAUAUAUGUUUUGGUGCGUUAGUUCUUCUUAUUGAAAUGGAAAGGUUCUCGUUCGCGAAUCCGACCUGAUCGAGAUGAACCAAAAAUGGUAGAUUUGAAUGGUUCUCCGUCGUGCGAUCUGCACUGGGUGCAUCCGUUGCAAAUCUGACGGACGGAUACUGGAGAUCGCCACUGUUGACGAGGAGAGUUCGUGCAUGGAAAACGGUAAUCGGCAAAAUGCGCCGCUGACAUUUGAUAAUACUGUUUUACGUCCGAGAUUCACUAAUGAGGGCGUUCUUCGCGUUGUCACUCCUGUGAACUAAGUAUGAGUGAGUGGUGACCGUUGUGCCGCUGUGAGGGAUUAGUUUGAAAUAGAGGUUUGGGGUAACUCGCAAAUCGCAAUUGGUAUAUAUAGAGCUUUAGAGGUUUUUGAUCCACCUAAACCUAGACCCUCAUUGCCCACAACUGCCUAGCUCACCCGCGACUUCAUCCUCCUCUCCCUACUCUAUGCCGUCGCCCGCGGCCCACUCUUUGUGACUGACUCGGCCAGCCGACCACCCUGAUUCAGCACUCUUUCCUCGCCUCAUCCAUCUCUACUCUCUCAUCUUCCUUCUCGGUUGAGACAAUCUAAGACCGCAUUUGCAAUCCUGUACCCUGCAGCACGCCCGACCUCGUCGGAAUCUCCCCCGCGCCACGCGCCGCCACGCCGCCGCUCCACUAGACGUGGUGCGCCACCGAUCUGCUCGGGACGAGCAUACUUGGCAACCUACCUUCGCGCGCGCCACCUUGCUUGAGCCGACAGCCUCCCCCGAAAGAAAGGGAGCCCGCGAUCCCCGGCGGCCGCAGCCGCCCGCCCCUGCUGCCCGCCGCCGCUCGGCAGCCCGCGCCACUCCAGCCUGCUCGGGCCGAGCUUGGCCUGCUUCCGCCCCGCGCGCCGCCGCCGCCCGGGGGCCACCGGUGCCACCUCCCUCCUCCUCCUCCGGCCUCUGAGGACCUGCCACCGUCGUCCCCGAGGAGCCACGACCGCCGCCAUGGCCGUAGCUUCGCUGGAAUCCGAGCCCUAACUGGUGCGGGAUUGCCUUGUUCCGUCGCCGCCGCCCCGCUUCCAGCCACCACCCAAGGUCCUGUCGACAUUCUUUUGCAGUCAGGAGACAGACGCGACAUCCUUACAGGUGGGUACUUCGAUCCAACGUCGGUACAGUGGUACACGCUUGGUGAUGGUUUCUUACCUUUACUCUUCUGUUGUUACUAUCCCAUAGUAUAUUGGGCCUUGCACCCUUGUUUAUUCGUUAUACACUACUCGUUGUUUGCUUGCUUAGUAUCUCGAGUCGGAGUAGAGCAGUUCUAUCUAUAUGCGUAUCCGUUGACCUAGUUGGUCUGUUGUUGCAUUCCGUAUCUGUUGACCUAGUUGGUCUGUUGUUGCAUUCAGUAUCUGUUGACUUAGUUGGUUGGUUGUUGCAUUCCGUUUCUGUUGAUCUAGUUGAUUGGUUGUUGCAUUCCGUAUCUGUUGACCUGGUUGGUCGGUUCUCGUACUUCGUAUCAGGGACCUUGUUGGUCAAUUGGACUGUGUGGACCUUGGGUCCAGGCAACACAUCGACUCUCUUGUCAUGUGUUUCGAUCUGGUUGAUCGUGGUUUGGCGUUGUACGCCCUUCUUUCUGGCUUCGGCCUAGGCACCGGCUUUAGCCGGAUUUCGUUUGAACAUAUCAGCAUGAUUUAGUCACAGCACUGUGUAUUCUAGACACCAGGUUGGUUUGGCCACCAACAAGAGGUGUACGUAUCCGGAUAGGUCGUCGGUGACGCAUGAAUAAGCUCUCGGUGUCUGCUCUGUGACAGACAACGCUUGAGGUCUGCGGACCAACAUAGUAGCAUCAGAUUGGGUAUAUUUGAACUUAUCGUCUGGUUGACGCAUAUAACUAUAGUAGCAGUUGUCGCUUGUAUAUCUUCAGUUCUUUCGUUACAUUGUCUUGCUACUAUAGUCUUGUUACAUGUAUACAUUCAGUUGUUCAUUACAGUAGCGGUAGUUGUAUUUUCUUUCAUAUACAUAUCUCUUUCAUUCAUUAUUAUUGCUACUGUAUUUUCUACUGACCUGUACUGUUGUUUAGCUCUUUCUAAUCCGGUGAGUACUCCUCGCCUUCAUCGGCUUGCGGUACCCACUGGGAGGGGAGACAUGUUUACAUGUUCUUACCUCCCCCACUAUUUUUAGGUAUCGCGGGCAGUGAGGGUUGAGACGAGACGUGAGAUACGUACGUAGCGGUCGAUAGAGCUUCCGACCCAGGUUAUUCAGUUUAGUUUCUACCCUUACUAUCCUGUUGAUAUAGCUUAAAUAGUUUAUAUGGUUCAGUUUUUGGGUAUUUCAGUUAACUAUCAUAUUUUGAUUUGGCUUUAUGAAUGUAAUAAAAAAGGAUUCGUGGUUUUCGUAAAUAAAAGGUUUUCUACCCCUCGUGGUAGCGUUUUUAAAGAAUAAAGGUUUCCGUGUAGGAAACAGUUUUCAAAAGAAUUUUCUGUGGAUUUAUGUUUAAAUAUUGAAUGUAUAACUGUGAUGUGAAUGGUGAAUGAAUGAUUGCAUAGUCGUUUCUAUAUUCAUUUGGUUGUGGUUGUAUNCUUAUUCCAACAAAAAAGUUCAAACAAAAUACCAAAAAAAAACUUUCUGAAAAAUCAUAAUCGAGAAAACUAAAUUAGAGAAAUAUAGAAAUUUUUGAUCAAAUCAUAGUCGAGCUUGAGGCGGGUGAGACUCUCGUCGACGCCGCGCGACACGCGCUUGGCUCUAAAGUCGAACCUGUCGGCAUAGUGCCCACACUUGGUGGAGACGACGAUCAAUAAAAACUCAAUUUUAGAAGUCUUAAAAAGAAACCCAAAAUACUAACUAAUUGUAGACAGUAAAAGCAUCACCAAGAUAUGAGAAGAAGUUGUCAAUUACAUUGAAGGAUCAUUCAUUGAAAGUAGGCAUUUAAUUUAAUUAUAUAGGCAUAAAAAUGAAAGAAAAUAAAUGCCUCAAAUAGGUAGUGGAGGGAUGUAACAGUAAGGGUAAAAAUGAAAGGAAAUGAAUGUCUCAAAUAUGUAGUGGAAAAAUCAAAGGAACCUUCCUAGCAGUUUACCGGAUCGACUCGGAUUGUCCAUGGAACGUUCCAUAUCGUCAAUAUCUGCAGGUUUGAAUCGAUUUACGUCGCCAUAUCAAAUCAAACAUUAAAAAAAAAAAAGAAAAAAAAAAAGGAGAAGAAAGCAAUUCAAAUUAAUAUUUUGUUGUGCAUACUUCACAGCCUACCAUUCCAUUCCUUAAACAAAUGAAAUAGAACACUACAACAAAAACGGUCUAUAGCGACACUUUUAAAUAUCGGCAUAAGUCAAAAAAAGUGCUGCUGGCUAAAUUACCGACACUUUUAAAAAGUGUUGCUAUAUGUGGGAUCGCUAGGUAUAUAGUGACAGUUAAAGAGUGUUGCUAUAAUCUAAAAGAGUGCUGCUAAUUUAACAAUAUUUAUUUAAGCAUUUAGCAAUCGCCGGAACUCUAUCUCGUUGGCUGCGGUGGCGGAGGAGGAUAAGAGGACGGGAUUUUCGUCUAGAAUUUCAGUCGAUUGAGUGAGGGGAGAAGGGAAAAUUGUAAUCGAUUUUUCUUUUCUUUUUUUUUCUUUUUCUCUUCUGUUUGUAAUCGGGCCAAAUGAGCUCGGUGGGGUGGGUUGAGUAGAGUACCCUUUUAUUUUUAGUUGGAUUGGACUUUAUAUUUAGGCAUUAGUAGGUUUUUUUUUUAAGUUUUGGCAUAAAUGUAACACUUAUACAAAAGUGUCCCAAACAUGUGUCCCUAUAACCUAAUUCUGUUGUAGUGGAAGGAAAUACUACCAAUUGAAUGGGAAAUUAGAAAAAACGAAGCAAAUAUUUUGAUGCUACAAAAAGAAUAGGGCAAUAACAUGAGAAGUAGACCAUCAAGAGAAAAUAAUAAUCUGGAAGAAUAUUCCAGGAGCCAACCAUCAAGACUGACUCUUUCCCCAAUAGGUAGUGGAGGGAUGUAACGGUAAGGGUAAAAAUGAAGGAAAAUAAAUGCCCCAAAUAGGUAGUGAAGGAUUGUUAAUUUUAAUUAAAAAAUUAAUAAAUUUAUUUAUUUAUUGGAGGUGACAAUUAGCAAUAGUGGGGAAAGAAGGGAAUGAGAGCAGAAGGGAGAGGGAAGGGGUGCCACGUGGCAAAAGUAUUGAGGAUUCAUAUUAUGUAAUAUAUAUAUAUAUAUAUAUAUAUAUAUAUAUAUAUAUAUAUAUGAUAGUGAUCUCCAGUUAGAAUAAUAAUGGUUUUCUAGAGUUGAGUGGGUGGUUAGUUGAAUAAUAUGAUCUAACGAGUGAAAAUGAUUAAUGGGGUAAAUUUAACGAUCGAAAAUUUAUGAGUACAAAAGGACUUAUACUCGUAAGAGUAUAGUAGCCGAACUCUAUAUAUAGAAUAGGACUACUAUACUCAUAUGAGUGUAGCUUUUUUUGUGCUCAUAAAUUUUUAGUCGUUGGAUAAAAGAAUAUGCAGUUAAGAUGAUAGUGAUCCCCAGUUAGAAUUAUAAUAAUUAUGUAGAGUUGAGUGGGUUGUUGGUUGAAUAAUAUGAUCUAACGAGCGGAAAUGAUUAAUGGGGUACAUGGAUCUAAUGAUCGAAAAUUUAUUAGUACAAAGGGACUUAUACUCAUAAGAGUAUAGUAACCGAACUCUCUCUCUCUCUCUCUAUAUAUAUAUAAAUUAACUUGAGUAUAGCUACUAUAUUUUCAAAAGUAUGAGAGAGUUGAUGUUUCAAACUUUUUAAUCCUUAGAUUAACUCUUUUAAUCAGUUCUAAUAUUUAGAUUAAUAUUAUUAUCUUAGGAGAAUCACUCAAUCCUAAGGGAGAUGCUAUUAUUUCGAUAAGACUAAGAAGUUGAAAACACCAAUUUUUUUAAUAUUUUCGAUAAUAUAGUAGCUCUACAUUAGUAACUUCACAUCAAUCGCCGAUGUGUAAAAAAUUACUAACUCCACGUUGAUUAGAAGUGAUUAGAUUUAUCAAAUAUAAUCUAUACAAACUAUAUUUAUUAAUACCCUCACCAUCUUGAAAUAGCAAAAUUGUCUAGUUUGGGCCGCUAAAACUUUUUUCACUCGUUUUCCUUAUCGACACUUCGAUACAUUCAAAACCUUUCUAAAAACUCCUACAUAGUAAAUUUAAAGCGAGAAACAUACAAGUACAAAUUAAUUAAAAAUUUCUAAAUAACUUAUGUAUAACAAAAUAUUAAAUAUGUAUAUAUAUUUUUUUAUGGACAUAAUUUCAAAAUCUUUCUAAAAUGUUCUGCAUGCUAAAUUUAAGGCCGAAACUCAAUUCUUUAAUUUUAACAUUUCCAAAUAUUCGAAUUUCCGACGUAAUAUAAAUUAAUAAAAAAUUUCUGAAUAAUGUAGUACUAGUGUCGACUUCCGCGCAAUGUGGCGGAUAGAAAUUUAAAUACAAAAUAUGCAUAAAAAAAUUUAUCAUUACUAAUCCAAAAAUAAAAAAGAAGAGAAGAUGAAGAGAGAUUCAUAUGUACUGAAAAAAUUAAUAUUAAUAUGUCAACCAAUAAAGAAUGACAAAUUUAUAAAUUUCAAGAGUUCGGGGAGCCAAGUAAAAUAAUUAAAACUUUAGAGAGACAUACAAAAAAUUAUCUCUAAAUUAAUUUUUUUUAUAAAUAUUUUUAAAAGAUAUGAUAAUUUUCUGCUUAAAUUAUUCUUGUAAAGUAUAAAAAGUAUAUAAUUAAAAUUUUGAUUCUCUAAAACUUGUCCAAAGUUAGUAUUUUUUAUCUAAUAAAUUUUAUUUAUAAACUUAAAAAUUUAUAUGGAAGAAAAUUUACAAAUAAAGGCAGUUAUAAAAUAAAGGGCCCCUUUUCAACCUUCUUUUUUACGGAAGUUUAAUAAUUUUUGCUUCUUUAACUCUAUUUUUGCGGUGCUUCUCAUUUUUUUUAUUAGAUUUUGAAAUUCUCUUAAGUAUUUUUUUGCUUUUACUUUGUAAAAUUGCUUAGAAAAAAUAUAAUAUAACAUGAGUUUUUAUCCUCAUGAAAGCUUCUGUAGGAAUCAACCUGGAAGAAAAUAAGUUAAAUAAAUACUUUAUAAUUGAACUCAUAAGAUAAAAUUAGUAGAGAAAAAAAUCAAAAGGAAAAAAUAACAAUNUUAAAAAUACAGCAUAAAAAAAGUUUUUUGUGCACUUACAUUGUUUUUAUCCUCAUGAAAGCUUCUGUAGGAAUUAACCUGGAAAAAAAUAAGUUAAAAUAAAUACCUUAUAAUUGAACUCAUGAAUUAAAAGUAGAAAAUAAAAUAAAAAAUUGAAAUGCCAUUUGAGGGAGAAAGAGAAAGAGGGGUCAUAUAAAUGGCAAUUACAGAAUUCAAAAAAUUUUAGGAGUUAUGAAAAUAGGUAGAGUAAUUUUAAUAAGAAGAGGAAAGAUCUCAUGAAUAAUAGUUAUCUAUUAAGGUGUAGCAUUAAAUUAAGAAUUAAUUAGGAAGACUUUAAUGAGAAAAGAUACAGUAAUUUGAAAAGGCAUGUUAACUUUAUAAGAAAAAAUAUGGUAAUUUAGUAAGUAAUUGGCCAACCCAUUGAACUUCCAAAAUUAAUUUAUAGGGGAUAACUAUUAAAUAUUUGAGAAGUCCAACAGUCUUGUAUACGGUAAUAAAUAAUACUAUAUCAUUAAUUAGUCAUUAUUUGCUUUAUUUCUAUUGCUAUUUUUUUAAAAAAAAAAUCCGAAAAAAUGAUGUUGUGCCACAUCAGCUUUACCUAUUGGGGAUUCAUAUAAGAGUACUAGUGUAGUUGCCCGCGCGAUGCAGCGGAUAUAUAUUAUCGAAAUAAUUAUUUUAUUUGUUAUCAUUGAUCAUCGAUGAUAGCCUGAAAAAAUAAACCUGAAAUAUACAAUUCAUCAAAUAUGUAAAAAAUAUUACUCUAACUAUAAAAUAAAGAAUAUUAAUUUAAAUAAUCAGCAAGAAUCAAAUUGGUAAAAGAGCAACAAUAACACAAAGCUGCUAUAACUACUGCAAUAGCAUUUCCAACAAACCAUUAUCUGACUCAUUGCUUUCUUGGUGAGGUGGUUCAUACUUUUUUUUCUAUAUCCUAAAAGAAAGCAAGUAAUUUAUUAACUGAAGUAGACACAAUAAAAAGAAUUUUAUCAUAUCAAGAGGUAAAGUUACAGCAUGAAAUGUAACCACUUUCGAUCUAAUUUUUAAACAAAUUAAUUGAGCUACUAAUACACCUUAGGAUAGGUGGAUAAAAUACUUGACUUGAAAUCACAGAUUCAAGGGUUUGAGCUUCUGUGGCUUAGGAAACCUACAGACGUCAAUGUGAAUUAUAUGAAAUGCUCUAUUCACAUUAUAAAAUAAAUAAAAAGUAGAGGCGUAAGUAGGUUGCGUCAGAUUAGUCUUAGGAAUUGCUUCUAAUAUUUUUUUUUCUUAAAGAAAAAUUAGAUGUAUACUCAGAACCUAUAAAGAGAAUGGAAGAGAAGAGCACGAUCCAAUUUGGACUAGCUUGAUAUUUUUUCAUAUUUAUAUAUUUUGAAUCUUACAUAUAUUUUAUAUCAAAUUAAAAAUAUAUAUAUAAUUAGUUAUUCAAAUUAUUCAUUUUUUAGCUCCAAUCAGUCCGUAAAUAACUAUUGCCAGUUACGAAUAAUGGGCCAAAAAAAUGAUCCAAUUCUUAUCAUAUUUUGAACACGAAAAUUCUAGUUGGAAAGAGCCAUCAAAUUCUAAAAAACUCAAAAUAAAUAAGUAAAUAAAUAAAUAAAUAAAAUCAAAGGCCAUUUUAGUCGAUUGUAAAUUCAAGUUGGAAAGCUUUUAACCUGCACAUAUAAAAAAAAUACUGACCAGAUAUUGGCAUCACCACCACGGGCACCGCCACCACCGAGGACGCGGUCGCUGUCGCCAUAGUCAUUGUCGAUAGUAGCACCGCCCUCAGCCUCGAUGCCGCCCCGCCCCCCCCAGCCCCGCAUCUCCCAUCGCCCUCCGGUCCUCUAAUAUAAAAUUAACUCUUUAAAAAUAUUUUAUUAGAAAGUUACUAACCCUGGUUGUGUUGAUAUGCUCUAACUUGAUAAAGUAAUGAGUUUGUGAAAUUAAUAGAUUUGGUGCAAGAAGAAGAUGGAGGGGUGAAAGUUUAUACUUAAGAGGGGGGGAAGGUAAGGUAUACGUUGCAAAUAGAAGAUGGAGGGGUGGGAGUUAAGCCAAGGUGAAGAAAUCAUAUAUGUUAAUUAAUUAAUAGAAGUUUGUGAAAUUAAUAGAUUUAUUGCAAGAAGAAGAUGGAGGGGUGAAAAUUUAUGCUUAAGAGAGGGGGAAUGUAAGGUAUACGUUGCAAGGAGAAGAUGGAGGGGUGGGAGUUAAGACAAGAGAACUUGGGUUGANAAAAAAAAAAAAAAAAAAAAACUUCUAAAGUAAUGUGGUUGUGCCACAUUAGCAAAAUUAUUGAGAAAUCAUGAUAAAGUAAUAAGUUUGUGAAAUUAAUAGAUUUGGUGCAAGAAGAAGAUGGAGGGGUGGAAGUUUAUGCUUUAGAGAGGGGGAAGGUAAGGUAUACGUUGCAAGGAGAAGAUGGAGGAGUGGGAAUUAAACCAAGGGGAAGAAAUCAUAUAUGUUAAUUAAUUAAUAGAAGUUUGUGAAAUUAAUAGAUUUAUUGCGAGAAGAAGAUGGAGGGGUGGAAGUUUAUGUUUAAGAGAAGGGAAAGGUAAGGUAUACGUUGCAAGGAGAAGAUGGAGGGGUGGGAGUUAAGGCAAGAGAACAUGGGCUGAGUUUAAAAAAAAAAAAACUUCUAAAGUAAUGUGGUUGUGCCACAUCAGUAAGAUUAUUGAGAAAUCAUAUAUGUUAAUAGAUUUUGUUGUAGUAAGGGUAAACCAAAUAACGAAAAUGAAUAUUUAUGGCGAAAACCACUUCACCUCGCUCUACUUUCGGCGAAAUAAACAUAGCCAUAGAUGAAGCAGGUAUGACUAUGCAUCACGGACACUUCUGUAAGCCUCGAGCCUGCGGGUCGGAAUCGUGUCCAAUGUGGACAUGCCAUGGAUGCACGGUCGACGCGGAUCCAUAGCGCAUCCCAUUAAAAAAAAAUUUUAUUUUAUUUUUUUAUGCACAUAUAAUAGAAGAUAUUUCGCUUUUUAAUGAAUGCAUAUAAUUUUUUUGGAAAAAUAUAAAUAAACUAUGUAUUGUGGAGAAUUUCCUUCCUCAAGAAUAUAUGAAGUACUAAUAAGAAUUCUAUUAACUUCUUAUUCGUCUAAGAAAUAUAACAAUAUUUUAACAAAAUUAAUAUUUUAUAUAUAAUAAAUAUAUAUUAUGUUAUAUUUGGUUUAGAUUUGUAGUUAUCUAAAUUGGAGUUAAAUCCUAAUCUAAUUGAGAUUGGAUAUAAUUUAGAUUAAAUUUGGCUUACAUGGAUUGUAGUUAGAAGGGUAAUUCUAAUUGAAGUCAUGUCUAAUUGUAAUCCGGAUAAAGAAGCCGGAUUUCUAAUUAAGAAGUCAUGCCUAAUUGAGCUCUCUGUUGAAUCCAAGACAAUUGAUUCUCGGGCUGGUGAUCACGAAGUGUAGCGGCAGCACAUGCAUUGAUAAUUAGAGGCAUUCUGUCACGCCCCGGAUUACACGUUCCCCAGGCGCGCCGACAAAUCCGCCGUAUACAAAGGAAUUUCCCCUGUAUACGAAGCGAUAGCUGUACCUGUAAAUCAAACAAUACUACAAACAGUAGUAUAGAGCUGCUAGGAGAAACAGAAGAAAACCAAACUGAGUUCCAUAUACAUACCCCAAAAUCCAAGAUACAAAAACUACUCGCACUGGCGAGUUAAAGAUAGGUAAGUACAUGAACUCCAACGAAGCUACUACCUGCAGUAGGGCACCUCUAGCUCGGCUCGUCGGAUAGGGCUCUAACUCGCGACGCCCUUGCCUCGAUCCUGAUCAGCAAUAGCAGCAGCCGAAGACGAUGGCUCUGCAAAAGAUAAAGUAACAACAGGGCGUGAGAACUACUGUAAAAACAAGUAGUCCUCAGUGGGUACCGCCCAAAACAACAUCGGUCCACCCACUAAGUCUACAGAAGGGAGCAAGAAUAGUAGUAAAUGCAGGAAUAAAAUCUACCGCUAUCAAACACUACACUAUCAUGCUCUACACUAACCAACUGUAGGAAAUGUCCAAUCUGACCCAAUCCAAUCGGGAUUGUAAGCAUACCCAUCCCCGGGACUGUGAAUACACCCGUCCCUGCCCCGUUGCGACUAUCAGGCUCUAUCUACACUAACUGGUCCGUGGAAAGCAAGUCCAACUGGCAUGAGCGACACCAAUGCGAAAGCACAAAGCCUGACUCCGGAGUGGCAUUCGUGGGCGUNCCAACUGGCAUGAGCGACACCAAUGCGAAAGCACAAAGCCUGACUCCGGAGUGGCAUUCGUGGGCGUUACCCAACCGAGUAUGCAGCGUAUCUCUGUCGAGCUCAAUCAGGCUCCAACUAGCCAAAGUCAAGUGAACAGGGUCAAAACAGGUCUACAAACCAAACCCACGUGCCCUCGGCACAAUCUGUGACCAAAACAAAAAUCUGGGUCCACCGCUAACCCGAACGGCACCCAACGACCCGAAACAGCCUAAACUCUGCUGAAAAAUAAGCUCGGCAUCCCAGCACGAGCGUAAAUGCCUUCUAAACUACCCCAGGUAUCCAUCGCACUGAUGCUGCAACGAUACAAUCGAAUCACGGCUCCUAAAGCUAAAUCUGGUAGUUUAAGCAUAUGACGGGUCAAAACGCAGGUUUUCUCCUAAGUCAAAUUUCAAGUCCAACAUGUAUAAUAUAAAUAUUCAUUUCAGCAUGCUUUUAUAUUCAUACUACAUCCCAAAAUGCUAAUCGAUGAAUUAAAGCAUGAUAUACAAAAUCGAACUAUACACGUCGACUAAACAUGCACUUAGGAGCGAAACCGAUGAUACACCCACCUCUAGUGCAAUUCCUGGCAGCAAGAGGGUCUCAGAUCUCAAGCAACAAUGCUGGAAACACCUCCAAACCAGCAACAAAGCCUCUCAAGAUCUGGAUUUACAAUUCACCUAAAAAUCCAAUAAAAACUAUCAAUUUCAGCCUUAAGCUUGGAUUUAUCCAAUUCCAAUGUCAAAACUCACCUAAUGAUCUCCAAAUCAGGUGGAGAGGGUUCCAAAUCCAGUACAGGUUGAUAGGGAAAAUGACUCAGCUCCACAAAGCCCCUGCUUCCCAAGUUCACCCCAAGAAAACUCAAAAAUUGGCAAAUUCUGUCCAAAGCAACAGCAGCAGAGAAAAACCUCAGUUCGACCAAGCUAAUCUCAACCAAAAUCUGCAAUUCAGGGCUUCGUGGAUUCCUCUGGAAGUUUAGAAUCCAGCAAACCAAGUUUCGUCGAAAUCCGACCUUCCUACGUCGCGCACGAGCCAAAACACUGGAGGUCGUCGCUGAAGAACUGCAGAAUCAGCACCUUGCAAUUCUUGGAGAGGUGGAUCUUGAUGCAAAUUGAAAAGAUUGGAGGGAUUAGGGAUGCCAAUUCUAAGUCCUCUGUGAAGAACAGGUAAAAGAGCUCAAUAGGGGCUUAUACCAGGUAUUUAUAGGCUGCUGGAGAGAUAAGAUAAGCCUCAAGAGAAACAGCUGCAAUCCAGUGUCCCUGCAGAAACGGGCAUUUCCGGGCGCCCGGAACCAUGUUCUGGGCGACCAGAACAUCCCGACUGCACAAACCGGGCUCCUCGGACUCUCCGCUCGCGGUGUGCUGCGCCCGUAAGUGGCUCCGGCGGAACUCACCUACCGCCCUGCCACGCGUCGAAGCAAGCGAUAUUCACGAGGUGAAGUUUCCGGACCCACAUCUGGGCGCCCGGAACAUGGGAUCCGAAUUGGCUUCCAGUUUUAGUUAAAUUCAACACUCGUUUCUGGGCGACCCUAAACAUGUUCUGGGCGCCCGAAUCUGGCAAAACUCCAGUUUUGCUUAUUUGAGUGCGUCGAGUCCAAUUUUGCAUCCAAUUCGUGCAGAAUUGACUCCGACUCAGUCCGACACUCUCCAGAGAUGUCGACCAGUCACUAUACUGAAGCCAAUCAUAUCCAAAGCUCAGGAACACUACACAUUCUCUAAUUAUUUAAGUCAACUAGCAGGAGAGCCGUAUGGUCUUUUUUUUUUUUUUUUGAGCCGAUCCAUCUAAUCCAAUCCAAUCCAAUCCAAUCCAAUUGUAACGACGAGCUUAAAUUGGAGAUGCUUUGCGCGCGCCAAUUUAUUUAUUUGGAUUAUGGGAUUCUUUGAGAGAUCUUCUUUGUACUCCGCCUUUCGGAAUUAAUGUGCGCGCCAAUUUAUUUAUUUGGAUUAUGGGAUUCUUUGACAGAUCUUCUUUAUACUCCGCCUUUCGGUAUUAAUAAAUUAUUUGCUCCGUCUUCGCCCAUGGACGUAGGCUGUUGGUCGAAUCACGUAAAUAUCGGUGUGUUCUUUCCUUAUCUUUUCAUUUUUUCUUGCAUUAAAUUAUUUUCUGGAUCUAUUUUUUGCCGUUCCAAUUUUUAACAUAUUAUUAUAUUAUCAAUAGCAGUAUCCAUCUCAUAUCGAUGUCCUAAUUUUUUUGGAGCUGUCUAGUCAUCAUGCCCAAGUUGUGCCGUAUUCCAUACUUCGUGUCCUUGUUCGUGAUGUCUAUAGGUACAGACAAUAAGUUUUAUUCUCAGAAAAAGGCUUGAAACAGAACGUCCGUGAAAGUUUAGAGUUGAAAAUGAAACAUAGUUGAAAGUUCAGAGUCUCGAAACUCGAACUUAAAAAUUGAAAGACUAGUAGUGCAGUCUUCUCUUUCUCCUUCUGUCAUUUUAUAGGGACUAUUAGUGCAGUCUGCCCUUUCUUCUUUCCCCGUGUUGGAAUUUGUGCGAUCAAGAGAGACAAAUAGAAGAGUGAAAAAUACUAGCAGUGAAUAGUGAAUAGAGAUGCAAAUGGAUCUCGGUUGGUGGAGCUCCUGUUCCUAUCCGCUCCGAAUGGAGCAAAAAGUAGAAACAAAAUAAUAUAGAAAAAUUCAAUUCGUUCCGAAUUUACCAAAAAAAUAAAGUGGAAGGCAGGAGAUCUCUUUCUUUCUUUGAUCCGUCCCAAUCUAUAAAAAAUCCACUAAAAAGUCAUUCCCGCCUUUGGUCUGUCCCAAAUGGAGCGAUAAACGACAGCCAAAAAUAAAAUUAAAGUUAACUCAUUCCGAAUCCGCCCCAACCUGACGAGAAAGAGAGCGGGAGGUGGGGAAUCCCUUCCGCCCCGUUUGCAUCCCUAGUGGUGAAAAUAGAUCAAAUAAUAUCCGGCCAUAUCCAUAUCUAUAUUCAAUUUUAUCUAUGUUCAAAUAGAAAAUAUUCGGAUCAAGUAGGAUACAGAUGCUAAUAUCGUUUCAAAAAAUUCAAAAUUAUUCGAAUAUCCGAAAAAAUUGAAUAGGAAUAUGGAUAUCCGAGAGUCAAUAUGUAUGUUAUUGAUUAAUUUUGUAGGCGAAUGACAAAGCGCAUGACGUAGUCACAUGUUCACACGGUUUAGGGCUUGCUCCUCACUCACACCACUAUUUUGUUUUCAAAUUUUAAUAUAAGUUUGAUUUUCAAAUUAAGAUAUAGUUAUAAAUUUUGAUUUUAAACUUUAAUUAAAAUUUAGCACUUUAAAUUUUAAUUUCAACUAUAUUUAAAUUGUGAAUUUAAUAUACCAUUUUGAAUUCAAAUUUGAACUGACAAUAUUAUAUUUAAAUUAUGAACUAAUUAAAUGUUGCAUAAGAGAUUCGAAUACAAAUUAUGAAUUUAAAUUCAAAAUUUAAACUUUAAAUUAGUUUUUAUAUUCUGAGUGCGUACUUUAAUUUCAUAUUUUGUAUUGUGAAUUCUAUUUUAAAUAUUUUUUUUCGACAAUUAAAUUUUUCUAAACCAAACAAUAAUAAUGUCUUGAUUCUCAUUAAAAUAAUACCCAAAUACAAAUCAGAUCCAUAUUCGAAUCCUGUGAAAUAUUUGAUCGUGUCUGAAUUCAUUUUUAGAGGAUAUAAUUAAUAACAAAAAUUUAGCAUUCGAAAUAUAUACACAUCUUAAUUCAUUUUCAAAAAAAAUUAUGGAUGCAGAUAUCGCUUCAUAUCUGACCGUAUCUGAUCCGUUUUCAUCCCUUAAAUAUCUAUCCUUUUAAGGAAGAGUCAAUGAUAGGAAUUUGUAUGACCAAAAAACAAUGUUUCUAGUUUUUUUUUCUCUCCUAUUGAAAUCAUGAUGCGGGUUCAUAUGACCAGAAAAAUAAUGUUUAGAAAGUGCAUUAAAAAAAAAUGCUAAAUUAUAUUUUUGGUCAGCAAACUAUAAGACAUGAGAGUUUGGUUAUUAAACUUUAAUUUAUUCCAAUUUCUCAUUCAAACUCUCUAAGUUGUUGCAAUUUAGUCCUAUAACUCAAUUUAAUUGAUGAAAUAUUAAUAAUGCAUUGCUAAUUGAUAAUGUUAAUAACAUAACAAUAAUUAAUUAAGAUGCCAUAUCACAUCCUUAUCGGUGAUGUGUUAAUAUUUAAUUAGUUAAAUUAGGCUGUGAGGCUUAGUUCUAAUAAUUAAUAGAGCUCGAGCUAAAAAAUAUAUCAAAUUAAAUUUUGAGAACCAAAAUGUCCCGCACAUCAUAAUUUGAGAAACAAAAACAUUAUUUACCCUUUCUUCUUUUUUUUUCUUUUUUAAGGGACUAGAAAAAGUAUUUUAAAGUACCUUAAAAAAUAUAUCAAAUUAAAUUUUGAGAACCAAAAUGUCCCGCACAUCAUAAUUUGAGAAACAAAAACAUUAUUUACCCUUUCUUCUUUUUUUUUCUUUUUUAAGGUACUUUAAAAUACUUUUUCUAGUCAUAUGAAUCCCUAUCAUGAUUUUAACAGGAGAAAGAAAAACUAGGAAAAUUAUUUGUUGGUCAUACAAAUUCCCAUCGAUCAUUGACCCUUCCUUAAAAAGACAUUUUUUUUAAACUCUUCUAAUGGUCUCUUGGUCACACAAAAAUGAUGUAGCAUGAUCUGAAAAAUAAGAAAAGGGACUUCUUUUUUUUUUGGGAACAAUUGGAAUUGAGGAAUAUGCAAAUUGACGCGAGAGGCAUAAUAUAUAGUUUGCGAAGUCCUAUAAUUAAUUAACAAUAAAAUAGAAUUGAGUGAAGUGUUUGAUAACACACAAAAAGAUAUUUUGUGAUAUGCAUUUUGAAGGAAUUAAAAAUUGUGUUUUACGGAAGCUACCUGUUCUCUAUUUUUGCGUAAAAGUGGUUUUUGCACGUUUACGAAAAUCUAACAAUAUUUCUAAAAUGACAAAAUUAUUUUUAAACUUUACAAUUAAUUUAAGCACACUCUUAAAGAUUAGAGGAGUUCUAUCAAUUAGGAUAAAAAUGUAUGAUGACCUCCUCAACUGUUGGCCAUUUACUCCCUUAGUUUUAUUAAUUAUUAUUAUUUUUAUAUUGCAUUAUAUUAAUUUCUAGUCAAAUAAAUUAAGUUUGUAACACCUCAAUAGUCCCACAUCGGAUGGGAAUGAGAUUGUGGUCGGAUAUGUAACGAUUAUAGACACUAGCUAGUAAACUGGCUUAAAUAUUUUGGGCUGGUGGGUCGGAUCUUUACAAUUAACCUCUAUGUGAUCCGUAUCCAAUCAGAGGAAUUUUACAUAGAACAACUUUGAACAUCUUUGCCAUUUAGUGCCUAUCCAAACUUUGCCAUGAAUCUUUGCCAUUUAGUGCCUAUCUGAACUUUGCCAUGAAUCUUUGCCAUGAAUCGUUCUUUUUUUUUUCUUUUUCUUUUUUUUGAGAGAUAGGUGCAACCAGUAUCAUUUAAACAAGCUCGUGGCACAUGAAAUUCGCAAAAUGUAAAAUUAUGCCGGUCUGGAGAUUAAUCCCUUGCACGAUCAUUAAUUUUUCGCUAUACAAACUUGUACCAAUGUGCGAAUUUUAUAGCAUAGCCAUAAGAUAAUUAAAACUUCACAGGUCUAAAUGUUGGAUAGUUAAAGAACGAUUCAUACCGACCGUUCCUAGAGCAAGUGGCAAAGGGUUUGGUCGUUGAUAUCCGAGAUCCAAGUUCGGAUCCUAGUUGAUUCACAUUUCCAGCUAAAUUUAUUUCUAAAUGAAAUAAACAAAGCGGAUAGCGUGCUACGUUGAAAAUUUGAUUCAACCUUGCAUAAGUUAUACUCUGAACUCUUUUGUUUCUUGGUUCAGUGUAAAGGAUUACAUUUGUGAAUGAAAAGAUUAUUUAUCACUGGGGUUGUUACAUGAUUAGAGUGUUCAAUCUCUAGUCCUACUUUAGUUCUUAAAACUCAUGAAUUAUAUUUGCUUAUGCGUAUAAUGAGCGGAGAUGACAAAAUACCUUGAUUCUACUUUGUUAAUUAUUGUACUUAAUUAUUUUGCAGGGAACUUGGAUUCAAAUUUUAUUAUGGUCCUUAAACUUUUGAAGUUUGAUAAAGUUGUUUGGUUUUUCUCUCUUUCUAUAUAUACUAGUAAAAGAAGAUGAGUGAAAAUUGGAAGUAUAAAAUCGAUGAAGUGCACAACAUUGAGUCUGUAACGACUCGACUUGCUAGUAAUAAUUAUUUGUUGGGCUCCAAACCACCUGCUUAAAGUACUUAAAUUUAAUUAUUAUUACUAAUCUUCAUGAUGUCUGGUAUGUCUAAUCGCAAUCUUAUUCUUAUUCGAAAUGAGACUAUUGGGAUGUCACAGAGUCGUGACAUCCAGGCAUAUAGGACUUAUUUGUUUUACCAAAGGUGAAGUUCAGAUUGAGAUAGACUUACGGGUGAAUUAUAGUUCAAGUAAAAAUUAUUAUUAUUUUUUCUGGUGUCUGUUUGUAUAGUUGUGAAACUGGAGUUCUUCCAUUUUUGUUAUUUGUAUAGCAGGAAGUUAAUGAUAUAAAUGUUAGAGGUGUGAGAGUUAAAUUAAUAUUUUUUUAUUCCUUAUCUUACUCUUUUUUUUUUCUUUUUUUUUUUGUAAUUGACUUAGGCUUGAGGUGGAAUGAAGUAAUUAUGCUAUUUUGGAGAGUUUGAGUUUCGACGGAAGAUGAAGGAGCAGUAAACGAAGCAGUGAAAAUGGAUAUUUGCGGUGAAAAUAGCUUUACCUAGCUCUACUUUUAACGAAACAAACAUAGCCAUAGAUGAAGCAGGUAGAAACAAAAAAUUUUAUUCUAGUAGGAGACCUAAACCAAAAUGUUAUUGGAAGUUUAUGGAUAUUUUGGCAUUUUGAUGAAUGCAUAUAAAUUUUUAUGGACAAUAUAAAUAAAUUAUGUAUAAAGGAGAAUUUUUUUUCUCAAAAAUAUUAAUGAGAAUUUUAUUAACUUUUAUUCAGAAAUAUAAUAAUAUUUUAACAAAGUUAAUAUUUUUUAUAUAAUAAAUAUAUAUUUUUAUAUUAAUAAUAGUGGUGUCUAUCUCGUGUCCGUGUUUUAAUUUUUUUGGAGCUGUUUAGUCAUGGUGUCCAAGUAGUGCCGUGUUCCAUACUUCGUGUCCGUGUCCGUGUCUGUGAUGCCUAUUGCCUAUUGGUACAACCAAUAAGUUUUAUUCUAAGAAAGAGAUCUAAAAUAAAACAUUGCUGAAAGAUCAGAAUUGAAAAUGAAACAUUGUUGAAAGUUCAGAGUUCUUAAAGUCGAAUUUAAAAAUUGAAGGACUAGUAGUGCAAUAUAUUCUUUCUUCUUUUGUCUUUUUUGGGACUAGUAGGGGAGUAUACUCUUUCUUCUUGCCUCGUGUUGGAAUUUGUGGGAUCAAAAAAGACCAAUAGACAAGUGAAAAGUAAAAUCCACCAAAAUUUCGUUUCCGUCCUGAUUCACUCCGAAUGGAACGGUAUGUGGGUGCCAAAAUAGGAUUAAAGUUAAACCGCUUCAAAUUGACCUCGACUUGACAAGAAGCUACCGUCACACUCCAAUAAUCUCAAAUUGAAUAUAAAUGGGGAUGUGAUUGGUUAUAUAAGAGACUUAGACACUAAGAAUAAUAACCGGACUUAAGCAUUUUAGGCCGGUGUUUGGGCUUAACGAGUUAUUGUUGUUAGUGGGCUGGGUCGUUACAAGAGCGGGACGUGGGGACCCUUUCUGCCUCUAGAUCUACUCCGUUUGCAUCUCUAGCGUCGAAAAUGGAUGAGAUAAUAUUCGGCCUUAUCACAUACAUUAAUAAUAUUUGGAUCCAGUCGAAUACGGAUGCUGAUAUAGUUUCAAAGAAUUUAAAAUUGUUCAGAUAUCCGAAAAAUUGAAUACAACUAUGAAUAAUCAACAAUUAAUAUGUAUAAUAUAUGUUAUUAGAACUAGGCUAGAAUACUAUUAAUAAUUAAAUUUUGUAGGUGAAUAACAAAGAGUGUGAUGUAGUUCACAAUUUACAUGGUAUGGGGCUAGCUCCACAGGUCAGGGGUGUAGUUUGUUUCUAAAUAUAAUUAUAAGUUUGAUUUUUAAAUUUAGGUAUAGUUUUAAGUUUUGGUUUUAACCUAUAAUUAAAAUUUAGUUUUUUAAAUUAUAUAAUUUUGACAUUAUUUAAAUUGUGAAUUAAAUGCACCAUUUUGAAUUCAAAUUUGAACUAACAAAAUUACAUUUAAAUUGAGAAUUAAAUUUCAAAUACAAAUUAAUGAAUUAAAAUUAAAAUUUUAAAAUUUCUAUUUUUGAGUGUGUAAUCUAAUUUUAUAUUUUAAAUUGUGAAUUCUAUUUUAAAUAAUUUUUUUGGACAAGUAAAUUUUUCUAAACCAAACAAUAAUAAUGUGUUGAUUCUGAUUAAAAUAAUACCCGAACACAAAUCAGAUCCAUAUUUGAAUCCUAUGAAAUAUUUGAUCAUAUCCAAAUAAUAAGAAAAUUUUAGCAUUUGAAAUAUAUACACAUCUGAGCUCAUAUUAAAAAACAAAAAAAAAAUGCAGAUACAGUUUCGUUGAAUAUCUGACCGUAUCUGAUCUGUUUUCAUCCCUUAAAUACCUGUCCUUUUAAGGAAGACUCAAUGAUAGGAAUUUGUAUGACCAACAACCAAUAUUUCUAGGUUUUUUUUUUCUUUCUCCUAUUAAAAUCAUGAUAGGGAUUCAUAUGACCAGGAAAAUAGUCUUCAGAAAGUGCCCUAAAAAAUGCUAAAUUAUAUUUUUGGUCCUCAAACUUUCAGGCGUUAGAGUUUUGUUAUUAAACUUUAAUUAAUUCCAAUUUCUCAUUCAAACUCUCUAAGUUGUUGCAAUUUAGUCAUAUAACCCAAUUUAAUUGAUGAAAUAUUAAUAAUGCAUUGCUAAUGUAUAAUUGACGUGACGGUGUUGCAUGUGAUUAAUGACAGAACAAUAAUUAAGAUAUCAUAUCACUUUUAUAUCGGCGAUACAUCAAUAUUUAGUCCGUUAAAUUAGGCUGUGGGGCUUGAUUUUAUUAAUUUAUAGAGUUUGAGCCAGAAACCAUAUCAAAUUAAAUUUUGAGAACCAAAAUGCCACGCACAUCAUAAUUUGAGAAACAAAAAGUGUAAUUUUGCCAUUUUUAAAAUUUUUUAAGGCACUUUAAGAUUCUUUUUCUGGUCAUAUGAAUCCCUAUCAUGAUUUUAAUAGAAGAAAAACUGGAAUCAUUAUUCGUUGGUCAUACAAAUUUCCAUCAUUGACCCUUCCUUAAAAAGACUUAAACUUUGGACAUUUUUAUUUAAACUGUCUAAUUUUAGAAUGUAUUUAAUUUAAAUUUAUACUAUGAAAAUCUAAUAGUAACUUUAAUUUCUUCUGAUGAAAGUUUUUAUAAUCUAACAAAAUAUUCUUAGUUUUUUGGAAUAUUCUCUAAUCCUUUUGCUGUAGAGUACUCAAUUCUAGUUAGUAUUCUUUUCUUUUUUUUUUCCGAAAUCAUCAAAAAUAUGAAGUUAGCUAAUAAAAUCAAAAUUUUAAAACCUUAGGUAUGAAUCUCAAAAUGCUCAGUGGUUUAGAUAGGUUCGUAGUUUUCACAUGAAUUUUUAAUUAUUACUUACUAAUUAAAUUUUAAUGUAUUAAUCAUAUAUUUAAUAUUUUAACUAGAUCUACCAUCAAUCAUGAACUAUGCGUAUUAAUUGAACUGACAUACUUACCAUUUUAGUUAAAAUAAAUUAUAUAAAACUAAAUAUUUGUCAUUUAGAACUUUUUUGUCAUUUGGUGAUUUAAAACAACUUUUUAAUUUAUAAUCACCAAACGUGUUAUGAAUCACUUUUAAAUCUAUACAAACAAGCUUUUGGUAUUUCGUAGCCAAAUUUAAUACUCUAUGAUAUAUAUCGUAAUAAUUAAACUACUUUAGUUCAGAAUAUCAGUUUUUAAUCAAUACAAAAUUAGACUUGCUUAGCAAUUAUAGUUUGUAAGUCAAAUUAAGCUCAAUGCAAUCUAAUCCAGGCCUAUUGUAUGACCAUGCAAAAUCAACACAACUGGUAGCUUAAUUUCCUUGUAGGACCUAACAGGAGAAUUCAUGACCCAUACACUAAAGUUGAACCUUUGAUGUUGAAUUGGCGAGUAGCUUAACCACAUGUAACUAUAUAUAAUAUUUAUAUAUAAAUAUAUAUAUAUAUAUAUAUAUAUAUAUAUAUAUAUAUAUAUAUAUAUAUAUAUAUAUAUGGCUCAAAUGGGUGGCCUUCUCCAUAAAAUACUCCAUAUCAAUUCCCUUAUUAUGAUGUUGUGUAUUUUCUCAACCUGCGUCAUGGCUACUCUUAUCCUUUCCUCCUUGCUGUGGAUUUUAACCGUCGACGUUGUUGUGGCGAGUGGUUGCAUGGAGGUAGAGAGGAAUGCACUCCUCACGUUUAAGUCCGGCUUGGUUGAUCCUCAGAAUUUAUUGUCUUCGUGGGAAGGCGAAGAUUGCUGUAAAUGGAGGGGAGUCCCCUGCAGCAAUACCACGGGCCAUGUUGUGAAACUCAACCUCCGAAACAGAAACUCGUAUGAUAUAUUGGUUGAGGAAUGCUUAUGUUUGAGCGGUGAGAUCAAUCCAGCUUUACUUCUUUUAAGCAAGUUAGAGCAUUUAGAUCUCAGCAUGAACAAUUUCAGCGGAACCAGCAUCCCGGCAUACUUGGGUUCAUUCGAGAACUUGAGAUAUCUCAACCUCUCUUAUGCACAUUUCAGUGGAAAAAUACCUCCACAAAUUGGAAAUCUCUCAAAACUUCACUAUCUUGAUUUAAGUUUUGACUUCACUUUUUCUGGCAACACUCUUAGAGUAGAUGACAUUUUGUGGCUCACUCGUUUAUCUUCCUUAAAAUAUCUUGAUAUGAGCUUUGUGAAUAUGAAUACUUCUACAGGUUGGUUGCAUGCUGUAAAUAUGCUUCCUUCAUUGAAAGUGCUACGUUUAGCUGCCUGUUCACUUCCUGGCAUUUCUACAUCUUCAUCACAUUUCAACCUUACAACUCUCAAGGUUCUUGAUCUUGGAGGUAAUUCCAUAAACUCCACUUUACCCACAUGGCUGCGGAAUCUUACAAGCAUCACUUAUCUUGACUUAAGCUCCAAUGAGUUUCAUGGUGUUAUUUCUGAUGAGUUUCUACGUUUGAGCACUCUUGAUGUUCUCUCCUUAGGAUAUAAUGGUUUUAAAGGUCUGAAUCCAAAAGCAUUAAGAUAUUUAUGCAACUUGACUACACUAGAUUUGUCAAGGAUCGGCUUUGGCGGGGAAAUCAUGGAAUGGGUAGAGAUACUACCACAAUGCGUGCGCAACAAUUUACAGUCUUUGUAUCUCAACAACAAUAACUUAAAGGGGAAUUUAUCAGGAUGGCUCGAACAAAUGAAUAGCCUCACAAACAUAAAUCUCCGUUCAAACUUGCUCAGUGGUUCAAUUCCUACAGGAGUUUGGAAACUUCCAAAUUUAAUUUCUCUAGAUCUAUAUAAUAAUUCAUUGGAUGGUGUCGUAUCUGAUGUCGAACUUUCUUACCUAAGAAAAAUACAAUCCUUAGAUCUGUCAUUGAAUGCUCUCACUGUGCGAGUUCACGAUGAUUGGGUUCCUCUUUUCCAAAUUAAAGAGAUUUUUCUACCCUCCUGCCAAUUGGGUCCCAAUUUUCCAACAUGGCUUAAAAGUCAGUCACAACUUGAAGCACUGGAUUUGUCGAAAAAUAUAAUUGCAGAUACACUUCCCAGCUGGUUUUGGAAUAUAUCUCAUUUUAUUUCUAUUUUAGAUCUUUCAGAAAACCAAAUCAAGGGGAGAUUGCCAUUAUUAAUGAGCUUUACCAGGCUAUUGUACUUAAAUUUGAGCUCAAAUCAAUUUGAAGGCCCGCUACCAUCUCUGCCACAUAAUCUCCUAAACAUCGAUCUCUCCAAUAAUUUUUUCACUGGAGUACUUCCAAACAUUGUAUUGCCACAGAUGGAUUUCCUAUUCUUGUCAAAUAAUGACAUUGGUGGUCAUAUACCAUCUGCUCUAUGUGAAUCAAUUUUUCUGGAAAUUCUCGAUCUAUCAAAUAACAACUUGUCAGGAGAAAUUCCUGAAUGUAUCGGGAAGUCACAAGAGUACCUUUCUGUUAUCGAUGUGUCAACAAAUAAUCUUGUUGGGAGGAUCCCUGACUCCCUUUGCUCGUCGAAAUAUAUUUCGCUGCUAAAAUUUAAUAGUAAUGGUUUGUCUGGAGAAUUUCCUUCGUUGCAAAAUUGCACAGGUUUGGUUAUCCUUGAUCUCGGAUAUAAUAAGUUUUCUGGAACAAUACCAUUUUGGAUCGGGGGAAGUUUAACUCUUCUUAUGGUUCUUCAGUUACGUUCAAAUAUGUUUUCUGGCGGCAUUCCAGAGAAAAUUGCACAACUUGGCUCUCUCCAAGUUUUGGAUCUUUCAAGCAAUAACUUAUCAGGACCAUUACCACGAUCCUUCGGUAAUUUCAGCUGGAAAGCUUUAAAAGAAGGCAGAACAGAUAGAAUUAAUAAUAUCAGUGCAUAUUAUUCAGUUAGUAUAUCCUUGGAUAUUAAGGGAGAGGAACUUACAAUUUGGAAGAUACUCUAUCUAUUUGAAAGCAUAGAUCUUUCCAAUAAUAAUCUAAGUGGAGAGAUUCCCGAUGAGAUUACUGAUCUGCAGACACAACAAUAUUUAAACUUAUCGAGAAAUAAUUUGAUUGGACGUAUUCCAGAAAAAAUCGGCAAAAUGCAAUCGUUAGAAUCGCUAGACCUUGCAAUGAAUAAGCUCUCUGGUAAUAUUCCGCAAAGUCUCUCGGCAUUGACUUCUCUGAGCCACUUAAAUUUGUCGUAUAAUAAUUUCUCGGGAGUAAUUCCAACAGGAAAUCAGUUGCAGACCCUUGACGAUCCAUCCAUUUACAUCGGCAAUCCAUAUCUCUGCGGGCCACCGAGUACGAGAAAUUGUUCUGCAAUUGAAAUAAAUUAUGAGGAUAAUGAAGGCCCUAAGGAUAAGUUCGAGUGGCUAUGGAUAUACUUUGGUGUUGUACUGGGAUAUCUAUUCGGUUUAGCAGUUUUUUGUGGGGUUUUGUUGCUCAAUAAUGCUUGGAGGAAAGCUUAUUUCUCUAUGAUUGAUAUUGUUUGUGACAAGCUUUUUAUUGUAACUAAAGUAACUCUGACUAGAUCAAGACAUAGGCAUAGGAGAUGAAGUAGACGGAAGGGCAUGCAGCAUCCUUAUUAAUGUAAGGUGGUUGGUUUUUUAGCAUUUCACUUCUAUAUUUCCGUAUUUUAUUGUAAUAGAAGCAUUAAUUCUGAGAAAUAAAUUAUAUAGUAUUCAAAUUUUCUGAAUAUUUGAAUAGGGAAAGCUAAAAAUCUUCCCUGUGGUGUAGAAUAUUAAUUUUUGGUUUUAAGUACUAUAGUUUAGAAUUAAGAAGCACCUUUUGUGGAAAAAUUCUAGAAUACACCGGGUAUAUUAGUGAUAUGGCAUCACAAACCAAUCAAAUAAAUCCUUUUAAAGAUAUAUGUCCCAUCAUGAUUGUAAAAAAAUAUUUUUGUUGUACUUUUGUUUGAAAAGAAGAUAUGUGAUUGGCUUGUUAUUAAUGACGUGGUGCAGGCGUGAUAGUGUAGAACUUCUCCCUUUUGUGUGGGUUGUUUUUAUUUUAGUUCCCACGAGGACUUGCUUUUGAAAGGAGUAUUGUAAGCAAUAGUGGAAUAAAAUAAAAAUUUUGUCACCUUUUUAAUGCUAUCUUAAGUAAAUUAAAAUACUACAUUAUAUAAACUAUGUGGUAGUGAUCGAGUUACAAAUAUGCUAUAUUAUACGGUGCUUAAUUGAAGUUUCUCAUAUAUAUAUAUUGGUAAGUGUUGGACUUGUUGUUUUGAGUGUUUUUUCUGUUAUAAUAGUAUUUUCAAAACUCAUAUAUAUAAGUUCGUUUGUCAUGUACAGUUAACAUAUAAUUAAGCUGUAUUUGGAUGCAAGAAUAAUUUGCUCAACAUAUAUAUAUAUAUAUAUAUAUAUAUAUAUAUAUAUAUAUAUAUAUAUAUAUGUGUGUGUCAUUCAUUUGGUCAAGAAGCAUAUAGGAGAAGUAUGAUAAAAUGUCUACAAAAAGAAAUAAUCAUAUUCAACUUUCAAAUUACUUUUCUCCAAAUAAAAUAAAGAUACAAAUAUAUAAAAUUUACUUAAACUAUACCCCAUUUUCAUUGGACUACCUAACUUAUCAAGUCUUGGUCAUAGUAUAUGUGACCUUUCAAUUUGUUGAUUUAAGUCACUUGAUGGUGUUUUUAGUAUGAAAUUCAAGUUAACUAUGAAUUUGCAGAUACAUGAAUUGCAUAAAAUAUGUUAAUCAAGCUUGUACGAAUAAGUAAUGUAUUUAACUUUUAAAGUUAAAGAGUUAUUAAACUACUUAACUAAGAUAAAUUUAAAGGUUUGGUAGCUGUAACAAUCCGACCUGCUAGUCAUCGGUCCAAAAUGCUUAACCCUAAUUAUUAUUACUAUUGUUUACGGUCUCUUAUAUACUCAGUCACAACUCUAGACCCUGACGUCCUCUACCUGACGUCCUUGGCAGCUCAAGAUUAUCAGGCAAUGUGAGACUCGUCUCGCUAGUAUUGUCAUUCAAAUCAUGUCUCAACCGAGACUUAUUUCAUAAUUUCGGCUGGUGAAUCGGCUCUGAUAACAAACAUAUAUAACAACACAAUCCAUUAGUAAUAAUAAAUCGUUUAGUCCAAACUACCGGCCGAAAAUGUUUAAGUCCAGUUAUUAUUACUAGUGUCCAUUAUCUAUUAUAUACCUAAUCAAAACUUCAUUUUCACCCGAUAUGGAACUAUUGGAGUGUUAUAGACUCCCCCCGUUUAGGCCCUGACGUCCUCAUCAGUCAAAUCACAUAUACAACCCAAGAUCACCGGGCGAUGUGAAACUUAUCUCGCUAGUUUUGUCACUCAAAACCUAGCCCAAUCGAGACUUAUCUUACACUUCUAGUUGGUGAACCAAUUCUACGAAAUGAACAAUCCGACCCACAAACAACAAUAAAUCAUUAGGCCCAAAUCAUUUGCCCAAAAUGUUUAAACCCAAUUAUCUAUCUAUCUAUCUAUCUAUUACUAUAUACUAAAGUAGAACCCUUAAUGAACACUAUGUGAAAAGCUGACACGUGGCGCUCUAUAUGUUUGCCACGUGUCAAGCUCAAAUAUAGAUUUUUUAUUUUAGAAAAAAAAUAGAUUUUUUAAGAAAAUAAUAUCUUUUACUAUAUAGAAAAUCUACGUGUCAAGCUCAAAUAUAGAUUUUCUAUUUUAGGGAAUAUUUCAAAGUCACCUAUAAUUAUGUUGUGCGGAUAUUACUACUUUAGGGAAUAUGACUACUUUAGAAAAAAUAAAAUAAAUUUUUUUAAGAAAAUAGUAUCUUUGACAAUAUUAUUAAAAAUCACCUAUAAUGAAUGAAGGUGAUUUUAUUUCAAAGUCACAUAUAAUUAUGUUGAGAUAUUUGAAAAAUUCACGCGAAAGAAUUGGCGGGUGCGGAUAUUAUUGCUUUAGAAAAAAUAAUCUACGUGUCAAGUUCAAAUAUAGAUAUUUUAUUUUAGAAAAGAUAGAAAAUAGAAUAUAAAUGCGAGGGUAAUAUUGUCACAAAAAUUAACAGAUAUUUUUAUUUUCAAUCAUUAGAUAAGAUCUAAUGUCAAAAAAUUAAUAUCUUUUGCUAUAUUAUUAAAAAUCACCUAUAAUGAAGGAGAAAUUAUUUCAAAGUCACCUAUAAUUAUGUUGAGAUAUUUAAAAAAUUCACGGAUAUUAUGUGGCAAAAAAAUUGACCGGUGCAGAUAUUAUGCGUGAGAAGAAAAAUAUUUAUCUUUAUUUGGGAAUAAAUUACUACUUAGUUAAUUAUUUGAAAUGAUUGGUUGAAAAUUUCUGGACAUAAAAAUAUUAGUAAAAAAAGAUAGAGACAUUUUUGGAAAGAGAAAAAAUUCAAAACUCACGUUUUUAUAAAAAAUUAAUAUCUUUUACUAUAUUAUUAAAGAUUACAUAUAAUGAAGGAAAUUUUAUUUCAAAGUCAUCUAUAAUUAUGUUGAGAUAUUUGAGAAAUUUAUAGAUAUUAUGUUGCGAAAGAAUUGACGGUGCGGAUAUUACGCGUGAGAAGAAAAAUAUUUAUCUUUAUUUGGGAAUAAAUUAUUACUUAGUUAAUUAUUUAAAAUGAUUGGUUGAAAAUUUCUGGACAUAAAAAUAUUAGUAAAAAAGGAUAGAGGCAUUUUUGGAAAGAGAAAAAAAUUUAAAACUCACAUCACUCCUGUAAUUUUCUUCGCUCUUAAAUAUUGAUGCUUUAAAAUAGAACAUAUUAUUUCCCUACUGUCACUUCUGUAAUUUUCAUUUCGUAAUUUUUUUCCCUUCUGUCACUCAUGUAACUUUUCAUCUUCAUGCAACAAAAUUUUUUUUCUUUAUAUUUUCUUGAAAACCAACAUCUAUAUAUUUUUGAAUCUUAAAAGCGACAGUAGGAACAUAAUAUAUGUGUGCUUACUCUAAUUUGUGUCAAAUAUGAAAGUUUAGUUGAUCUCAUUAUAUGCUUAAAUAUUAAUGUCAUUUGUAAUUUUUCAUAUCAAUUUUAGUUAUCAUUUUAUUUCGCACAUCAAUAUGUAAAUGUAAAUUAUUUUGCAUACCAAUUCAUAGAUAAUAGAGCAGGAUUGAAUUUUGCAUUUUAGUUGAAUAUUUACUUUGGUCCAAAUUUUUUUUUCUCUAGCUUGUGUACUUCAUUAUGUACUAUAACUAAGAUUGAUAGUAUAUUUUUUUAUUUGUUAAAAAAUAUAAAAUUAAUUAGAAAAUCUUUUUGUUAUCAUCACAUAAUAAUUUUUAUUAUUCUAUAUUAUUAUAUUAGCCGUGCAUCGCACGGGCGAAAAUCUAGUUAUUAUUAAUGUUCAUAGUCUCUUAUAUAAUCAAUCAUAAUUAAUUUCAUUUUUAUCCAUUAUGGAACUAUUAAACCUAACACCCCGUUUGGAUUGGAUACAACACGGGAUAAAGUCUUAUCCCCUUUUGUACCCAAACACAAAUACUAUGGGUGGGAACAAGUUGUUCCCACCCUUAGAUGGAAUAGGAGUGGGAACGAGCAGUUCCCACCCCUAUUUUUUUAAAAAUUUUAAAAUUUUAAAAUUUUAAUUUUAAUUUUAAAUUUUAAAAAUUUAUAAUUUAACUUCAAUAUUAAUGUUUAUAAUUUUAAAUUUUAAAUUUUAAAUUUUAAAAAUUAAAAUUUUGAAAGGGAGGCCUUGUCCUGAGUCUGUGCGAGCUAAACAUAAUUCAUUGAAGGGUGCCUAUCAUAUUGACUUGACUACGCUUUUAAGAGAAAAACGUAUGGGAUAGUCCCCGUACAAUUUUGAUAUUUCAAAUUGGCCCCUACAAGUUUUGUUUCCUGAACUUUCGCAUGUGUCAACAUAAUUUAUUUAUUUUUUCUCAUAUUAAUGUAGACAUUUUAUAUCUUCUGAUUAAUGUCUUGUUCAGUUUAAUUUUCCAAAAUCCGUGAUAUCGGAUGUGUUUCUAGAACACCAACGUUUAAAAUACAAACAUAUCAAAAAUCGUUAGUUUUAAACAUUGAUUCCUCACAAAUCAAACAGUCAUUCGAACUUCUGAUCAUUUGCGAAUAGCCAUCUAAGCUUUCAAUUUUUUUUUUCAUUUAGCCCCUAAACAUUCAAAAUUUUAAAAUUAUUCGCCUAGAUACUUAUUUCGUUAAUUUAAAGUGAUCAAAGUCACACGAUUGGUCAAAACGAAUUUUUACGUCAAAAAAGCCUUUCUAUAUAGCUGCAAUAUAUAUAUUAUAUUAUAUAUAUAUAUAUAUAUUAUUAUAUAUGAAUUAGGCUGGAAUAUAUUAAUAGUAAAAAUCUUUUACUAUCAAUUUUUUAACCCUUGGAUGAAAAUUGUAGGGUCGGAUGAUAUUAGUUAGUUAGGAUUGAUGGUCCCCUAGGGUUGAGUGGUCCCCACUGGUUAUAGUAUUUAAUCCAAUAGUUAGAAAUAAUGAAAAGAGUUGAUCCAAAGGCUAAAAAACUGGUAGCAAUAAUGGAAUUUUGCUACUAAUGAUAGCCAGUCCAACUCUAUAUGUAUUAUAUAUAAUAUAUAUAUAUAUUAUAUAUAUAUAUUAUAUAUAGUGCAGCUAGGAUGCUUAUGGAAGCAUGGAGGGCUCCGUGCUUCCACUUUGUUUCGAUGUUCGGACUUUCGAAUCGACGAUCGGCUCCGUUAAGACUUGAUCUAGAGUAUUUGAAGUAUCUAGAAAUAAAAUUUUGCUAAUUUCGAUAUCAUUGCCUAGUGAUCGAAGUUGCACAAAAACACGCUGAAAAUAAAAAUUUCCAAAAUAUGAUGAAAUGACAUUAAAAUUCAAAAUAUGAUGAUAUGACAUUAAAUUUUAAUCAGAGUUAUUGAUCUUGUUAUAUAUGGUAUAAAAUAUUUUCUAUCAAAAUUUCAUGUGAUUUGAAUAUUUACAUCGUUAAACUUGCAACCGGCUCACCACAGCCGUUAAAAUUAUUGAUUUUGAGCCCCUUCGAUCACUAGGCAAAUGAUAUCGAAAAUGGCAAAUUUAUUUUUUAGAUACUUCCAAAUACUCUAAAUCAACUGUAUACGGAGCGAUCGUCGAUUUGAAGUCGGAAACAUCGAAAACGACUUGCAAACAUGGAGGCCUCCGUGCAUGAUUCCAUAAGCAUACAAGCACAACAAGCACAACAUCUCUCUCUCUCGUCUCUCUCUCUCUGAUCUAUAUAUAUAUAUUAAUAUAAUAUUAAUAUAUAUAUAUAUAUAUAUAUUAAUAUAUAUAUAUAUAUAAUUAUAUAUAUUAUAUAUAUAAUAUAUAAUAUGUUCUUUAUUAAUAUAUUUCUUGAUCACUUCACUAUCCUUUACAAAGAGCAAAACUAACGAUACGGCAGGUUGGUCCUGUACUGUUUUGAUAUAGCAGUUUGGUCCCUGCAAGUCCAUAUUCAUGAAUUAAUUUAUGAAAAUCCUUUUCGUCUGCUCAAGUUAUUAAUUUUUUUAUUUUAAUAUAUGUUCGUCCUAAUGUUAUCUUUUACUAAUGUAUAAUAUACUUUUUAUUAGAGAAUAAAUUCUUUAGUUUACUUUGUUUAAAUUAAAUUGAUAUUUUGGUCAAGUAUUAUAUAGUUUAAUUUGUUUGGAUGAGUUUGUAAUGAUUUUAUAUAUUCAACUUAUUUAUAGAUUUAGUUAAAUAAUACUAAACUUAAUUAAAAAAUUAUUAAUAAUAGAUAAAGUGUACGUAAACUGAAAAUUUGGUAAGUUUUUAAGAUAAUUUUCACCAGUUUUUUUUUUUUUCUUUUGAUAUUUUUCUUAAACUAUCGAGAUAUUUUAAUAUUGAUAUAUAGUUUGAGAUAAACAUUUAUGUAAUUAUGGAUUAAUUAGAAGGGAGAUACAAAUAAAAUUAUAUAUUAAUAAUUUAAAAUUUUGGAUCAACCGAGAAAACGGGAGGCUUAAUUAAAACCCAGUUUAACCCAUUCAGACAGGUGGUUUCACCAAUAAAUUGAUGAAUCGAUCUGUUUUUUUAAAAAACCAACUGGAUGUCUGUUUAUCAUGCAUGUUAAUAAUUUAUUAGAAACAUGUAUAAGUUUUUAAAUAAUUUGCACUUUUAAUUUAUUUUUGAAUAUAUAUAAAUUAUGAUAUAUUUUUAAAGACGUGCUGUUUUUUAAAAGAAUUAUCCCUUCUAAAACUACUCGAGUUCUAAACUCACUCAAUCCUAUUAACAUCUUGGGUAUUGCCGCCGCUCAAAAUACUAUAAACGUCCAAGUUAUUUCAAUCUUAUAGUUAAAUUCUAUUAAUUAAUGAACAAUUAGAAACAACCGUUAUGUUUGUAAAAUUACUCUUUCAUUAUUUCAAAUAUACCCUUCUAUUGUUACCAACUUUUUUUAUUUGUCCUUAAAUUAUAUAGGGGCAAAAGAGUCAUUUUAACCUUUUUUUUUUUAACUCCGGUAAAAAUAUAAUUCGGGUUUAAUUCAAAAUGACUUAACGGGUACUAAUAGAGGGUUAUUUUUGAAUAACAAAAAAUAUAUAGGAACAAUACAUUUGAAACAAAAAAAUAAAAAUAUAUAAAAUAUUUUAAAAUAUUUAAAAGAUAUAUAAGAUAUUAUCCCUUAAAUAUUUAUAAUAUUAUGCUCAGGUCGUUCAACUGAGUGGUUGGUGCACUAUUUGAACCUGAAUAUACCACAUGAUAACAAAUGACCUAUGUAUCACGGAUACUUCUAUCAGGCUCGUGUGUCCGUGUCGGACACUUGUGUGUUCGUGUUAGACUCGUGUCCGAUAUGAACACUCUUUAAACGCACGUUUCAUGCUGAUCCAUGGUGAUAUCAUAUUUUUAUUUUACUUUUUUUAUGCAUUAUAAAUAUAAGAUGAUAAAUAUUUUAGCGAAUUUUUAACGAAUGUAUAUAAAUUUUUUUUUGACAAUAUAAAUAAAUUAUGUGUGAAUAUAUGAAUUAUCAAUAAAAAUUUUGCUAACUUUUCAUUUAUAUGAGAAAUAUAAAAAUAUUUUAUCAAAAUUAAUAUUUUAUUUUAUAUAUAAUAAAUAUAUAUUAUUAUAUUAAUAAUAUUAUAUUUUAUUAGCGGUGUUCAUAUUAUGUCCGUGUCUUAAUUUUUGAAAGCUAUCAAGUCGCCGAGUUCAAGUCGUGUCGUGUUUCAUAUUCCAUGUUAGCGUCCAUGGUGCAUAGCAAAUGACCCACCAUGUGAGUACACCCGUCACAUCAUGGAUGUUCUAUACUGUCACAUUUGCACUACGUCAUUACUAACAAGCCAAUCACAUUCCUUCUUUUCAAACAAAAGUACAAUAAAAAUAUUUAUUUACAACCAUGAUGAGACAUAUAUUAUUAAAAAGAUUAAUUUGAUUGAUUUGUUAUGCCACGUCACUAAUAUACCCGUUGCAUUUUAGAAUUUGUCAAUUGAUAGAUGUGAAUACUGAGAUGGACUCGAGGAAUCUGCGCCAGUAAUUUCCAUGGUACAAAGUCAUGCAGACGUGGAAUGAAAAAGAAGGUAUGUAUGUACACUUCUUGACGGAAGUGAAUGAAACUAUUCUAUGUUAUAAUACAUGCUUAGUACAAUUAGCUAAAAUAGUUUGGUGAUUGAUAUAUGAAAUUUUAAGUUCGAAACAUAAUUAUUUUAUAUUUUUAUCUCAGUUUAUUUUGCCGCAUGCACGUAUCGUUAUUUUAAGACGUAGAUAAAUUAGUUCAGAUUAUAUUCUUUACCAUCUUGUAUAUAUAGCACAGUUGAUCAAUUAUAUUUAAUUUGUGGUGUAUCUCUUACAAGUAAGACACGACUUAGAUGGGUCAACACAGAAAAAGUUUUCCAAAGCUAUUCCAUGAAGAAAAUAACGAGCAACCAAUCACAAUAUUUAUGGUGCAUAGACAUUCAAGACCUGAUAUUUUUUUUCUUUGACUCUAUCUCAACCUAAGCGUCACGGACACGGAACACGGGAUACGACAUGACUCGAACACAAUGACUUGAUAAUUUCUGAAAAUUUAGAUACUGGCACAGAAAUAUACUGACAUAUAUAGAAAUAUUUCUGUGUAAAAUAUCCGUCACAGAAGAGACUUUUUUGUAAAGUGAUAUGCAAAGUUCUAAAGCUUGUUUCCAAAGCCUCGUAAAUAAAUAGUCUGGCAACAUUUGUGUGAAUGUGCAUUCAUUCAAGUAGCUCGUUUGCUUGAAGCAAAACAUGGCAUCUUUUAUUCUUUCCUUCUUGCUUUUGAUUCUGGGCAUGCAAGCAAAUAGAGCAGUGGGUUGCAUUGAGAGGGAGAGGAACACACUUCUCAGCUUUAAAGCUGGCCUAACCGAUCCAUUCAACUUCUUGUCUUUGUGGGAAGGGCGCGAUUGUUGUAAAUGGACGGGAGUCGUCUGCAGCAAUACAACGAGACAUGUUGUGAAGCUCAAACUCGGAAAUUUAGCAUUGAGCGGUGAGAUCAACCCAUCUUUGUCUCUUUUAAGUGAUCUGAAGCAUUUAGAUCUCAGCAUGAAUAACUUUAACGGCAUAAGCAUUCCUACACAUAUAGGUUCUUUGCAUAAGUUGAAAUAUCUUAACCUCUCUAAUGCUUGUUUUAGUGGAACUGUGCCUGCUCAACUUGGGAAUCUCUCAAAUCUCCGCUAUCUUGAUCUUAGUGUUGAGCUUUCUCUUUCUUGCAUGAUGAGUGUAGGCAAUAAUAUGUGGUGGCUCAGCCAGCUUUCUUCUUUGAAGUAUCUUGAUAUGAGUAAUGUGUACUUAGGUGAUGUUCCAAAUUGGCUCGAAACUAUAAACAUGCUUCCUUCCUUGGAAGUGCUUCACUUGCCAAACACUCUUCUCAAUGGAAUUCCUUCGUCGCUAUCGGAUGUCAACAUUACAGCUCUAAAAGUACUUGAUUUAGGGAAUAACGGCAUCAACUCUACCUUACCCACAUGGUUGUGGAAUCUUACUCACGUCACUUAUCUCGACCUUUCGUUCAAUAAUUUCCAAGGACUCAUUCCUGAUGAACUUAGCUCUUUGAAGUCCCUCAGUUCCCUUUUUUUAAAAUAUAAUAAUUUCAAAAGUAUGUCUCCGAGAGCAUUUCGCAAUCUCUGCAACUUGAAUACUUUGGAUUUGAGCGAAAUCGGCUUCAGUGGGGAUAUUUCGGAAUGGAUGGACGCAUUGGCGGGUUGCGCACUUUAUAAGUUACAGAACUUGUAUUUGGGAUAUAACAACUUGAAAGGGAAUCUCUCAGGAUGGUUAGAAAACAUGACUGGUCUAAGUUCUUUGGAUUUGAGUUACAACUCACUCAACGGGACUAUCCCAUUAGGAGUUUGGGAGAUGCCUAAUAUAACAUAUUUGGAUCUUUCUAGCAAUUCAUUCGAGGGUGUCGUAUCUGAGGUCCAACUUAAUCAUCUUGGAGGAAUACAAGAACUUUUCCUUUCGAAUAACUCCAUAGUGGUUCGGUGCAGCGACGAUUGGAUACCUUCUUUCCAAAUCGAAGCAUUUGGAUUGGCAUCAUGCCAGUUAGGACCCAAAUUUCCUACUUGGCUCCAAGGACAAACACAACUUGAAUAUCUCGAUCUAUCAAAUAAUCAAAUUGUUGAAACACUUCCCAGUUGGUUUUGGACUAUAUCUCAAUCCCUAAAUUAUGUGGAUUUAUCCAAUAAUCAAAUCAAGGGAAAUUUACCACUUUUAUCAGACCUUACGAUGUUACAGAUGUUGAAUUUGAGCACUAAUCAAUUUGAAGGCCCAUUGCCAUCUUUACCACCUGCUAUUAUAUCAUUGGAUCUCUCCAAUAAUUUCUUUGAAGGUCCAUUAUCAACCUCUAUAUUACCAGAACUAUCCUUCUUGAUUCUAUCUAAUAAUAAUUUCGACGGCACUAUACCACACUCUUUAUGCAAAUCAUUUGAUUUAAUGCUUCUCGACCUAUCAAGGAACAACCUAUCUGGAGAACUUCCUCAAUGUUUAGGGAGAUCACAAGAGAGACUAUUUAUUGUAGAUUUGAUGGGCAACAAUCUUUCUGGGGGAGUUCCUGACUCUAUUUGUUAUCAAGAAAGUUUGUCAUUAUUGAACUUGGACAAUAACAACCUGUCAGGAGAAUUUCCUUCUUCUUUGCAACGUUGCAAAGAGUUAGUUUUUCUUGACCUCGGGCAGAACAAGUUCUCCGGAGCAAUACCAACAUGGAUUGGAGAAAAGAGUUUGUCAUCUCUCAUGCUUCUGAGCUUGCAUUCAAAUAUGUUUUCUGGCAGCAUUCCCCCACAAGUUCUACAGCUUGGAUAUCUUCAAGUGUUGGAUCUUUCUCAUAACAAUCUUUCAGGAAUUAUACCCCGAUCUAUUGGCAACUUUAGUUGGACUGCUUUGGAAAGAGGAGGAAAGACAGAAGAUGUGGAACAAUUAGAGCAAGGAAGAUUCUAUACCUUUUCAGCUAGUUUUUUGCUCGUAAUAAAAGGGGAUGAACGUCUCUAUUCAAAUAUUCUCGACCUUUUGGAGAGCAUAGAUCUUUCUGAUAAUAACUUGUCCGGGGAGAUUCCUGACGAGAUUGGAGAUUUGUGGGCACUACAAAACUUAAAUUUGUCGCAAAAUCACUUAUCAGGAAGUAUUCCAGACAAUGUCGGCAAAAUGAAGUAUUUGGAAUCUCUCGACCUUCGAAUGAACAAUCUUUCUGGCACUAUUCCGCAAAGCCUCUCCGCACUGACUUAUUUGAAUCACUUAAAUUUGUCGUACAAUAAUCUAUCAGGACCGAUUCCGACAGGAAAUCAACUGCAAACCCUUCCUGACCCGUCCAUUUACAUUGGCAAUCCAUAUCUUUGUGGACCACCGAUUACUAAAAAUUGCUCUACAAAUGAAACAAUUCAUGGUUUUAGCGAAGGGCCGACAAACACAUCUAACAAGUUUGAAAGAUUAUCGCUCUAUGUCAGUGUGAUAUUGGGAUUUAUCACAGGAUUUUGGGCUGUUUCUGGUAGUCUAUUAAUCAGCAAAUCUUUCAGGUAUGGUUAUUUCACUUUGAUUGAUACGACGUAUGAUAAGCUAUAUGUUGCAGUCGCCUUAGCACUUGCUAGAUUGAGGAGAAAAAUUGAGCAAUCUGAAUAGUAGCAUAUUUUGUUGAUUUAUUAUAUAUGCUAGAAUGUUUUUAGUACUUUGCUUUUCAUAUUGAUUUUGGUGUUAUUCAUUAUGUAUUCACCAUUUAUAUAUAUAUGAGACGUUCGGAUAAAUAAAAGUUGUGCUCCCUGAUCGAGUUGGUUGUUUUCUCAUAUUUGUGCUUAACUGGAAUUGGUCAAUUUUGUAAUUUUACCCUACACUACUCUAGGGCAUUGCUACAUUAGUAUUAUUGUUAGCUUUUUUUAUUUUUAUAAAUAAAAAUUUUAGGUAAUUAGAUGCAUCGGUAGAUAGCUUUUUAAAUUCUUGUUAUUGUUGACGGGCUUGCAUAGAUAAGAAAAUACACGGGCAUGUUAGAUAGUUGAUGUUAAUCAUUAAUCUCCAAAACUCGAUAUGUCAUAAAUAUGCAAUCAAUUUACUUAAAACCAUACACACAUAGUGCCUACAGGUCUCAAUUGUGAGUUGGUCCAACCAGCCUCACGCCAUUCGAACAUGACUCGAUCCAACUCAGCCUCCCGUUAUUUUAAAUAUAACUUGGCCCAAUCCAGACUCCCACUAUUGGGAAGGAUGUUGGUCUGUUUAAGCCAACAGUCAUGGCAUUCCGUGUAUUUUUUCUUUCAAAAAAUCCAAGAAAACACAAAUAUAUAUAUAUAGAGUACAAUUACUAUGCUAUCGGAAGCAUAUAGGAUCUGGUACUUCCGAUUUUUUGGCCGUUAGAUCGGUCCCUUUAAUCAUUUUUAACCUUUGGAUUAAAACUAUUACGCUGUGGGGACCACUCAACCCUAAGGGUACUACUCAACCCUGGGGGGACCGCAAUCAUUCCAACCGUAUAAUUCUUAAUUCAAGGGUCAAAAUAUCGGAAGUAUCAAAUGCUCUAUACUUCCGAUAGCAUAGUAGCUCUACACACACACACACACACACUCUCUCUCUCUCUCUCUCUCUCUCUCUCUCUCUCUCUCUCUCUCUCUCUAUAUAUAUAUAUAUAUAUAUAUAUAAAAUUGAGUUCCUAUACUUUUAAAAGUAUCAAGUUAUUGGUACUUGUAAGUUUUCAACCCUUGGAUUAAAUGAUGUGCAGUUAGGAUGAUGUGGGCCCCCUAGGGUUGAGUGGGUGGUUGGUUGAAUAGUAUAAUCUAACGGAUAAAAAUGAUCAAAGGCGUAGAUGUCAUGCCCCGAGUUCGCAACGGAAGACUACGGGACGCUAACAGACCCGCCGAACGGACAGAGUUUCCCCUGUCCGAACGAAGCGUCAACAAAAUCGACCAGUACAAGGCAAACCAUUGAGAUCAAACGUGAGGGGUAUCCACAACACAUGAAUCAAGGAAAAGUACUGAAUAAACCAAUAACAUGUAUCAGAGUGCUAUUUCCAAGCUAAGUUGCCAUACAACACGAAUAUCACCAAAAGAACCUCAACCUCAAAAGAAAAGUACAUGAAAACAACCCAGACCCUCGCCAGUGCAGGCAAAUUGUACAACAUAGCACUCUAUCUGGUGGUCCUCUACUGAAAAUGCAUGCUGGUAGGAGAUAAUAACUACUGCGCGAUCCCCCUCACCUCGAUCAACCGACAGUAUACGAACCCCUGAAAAGUAAACCACCAAAGGAUGUGAGAACUACUAAACAGUAGUUCCGAGUGGGUACGGUCAACGAUAACCACGACCUUCCCACUAGGUCUACUGGAAGCCAGAUUAACCAAUUAACAGUAGAAUAUAUGGUAAAUAAGUAGUUGAAUGCAAAUACACAUGAAAAUUAACUGAACAGGUAAAUGAAUGACCAGAGGUAAUAAUCAAGGUAAUUGGCUCUAAGCAGUAUAAAUGAACGUCAAGUAUAGUAGAAGACUAACCGGCUAUGACCUGCAUAGGCAAAUGUACACAACUCUCUAUAUAUAGGCAAAUGUAAAGUAACAGUAAAUGAAUAUCUGCAUGUAAUAUAACCAACUCUCUAUACCUGUCUCAAUAUUGUUUCUACACUUACUGUACUAUCAUGUCCCUAUACAUGUAGAGAGAGGGAAAAGAAAGCAACUGAAUAGUGUAUGCAACAAUGUAACUGCUACUAAAUAAAUGCUGUAAUAGUACCCAAUCACAACGACCGGCUCGUACGUCCGAUCAAGCCUGUGCCCGCCUAGUGUCGGAAUCGCACUCCCGCAGGUGCACCGUCGACACCUAGGCUCUACCCCCAGCCCGAACACCACUCCCGCAGGUGGGUCGUCUUCCCAAGGGUACACAUAUCACUGAUAUAACUGGCCAGCGUCCGGAGCGGCACUCGAAGGGGAGCGACCCCUACCGAGUAUUAUAGCACAAGUCUGUCAUCUCAAGGUGGCAUCAGCAGGCUAUAGUCUAUGUCAUGGUCAACAAUAUCAUAGUGCCCAAUCCAAUGUCCUCAGAGUAAUCAUAGAGUAAACAGUAGGUCAAACAUCACGACAGAAUAAACAAAGGCCCUCUCUAUGUCCAAAUCUCUGUACACCAUUGCCGCGCUAUCCACGGCCACUGACACACACUAUAUGGUAUGCACGAUACAAGUGACUAAUAAUGACGCAUCAAAAUAACAUUUCUAUCACAUACUAUAUGCCAUACACGAUACAAGUGAAUAAUAGAUGACUAAAUCAAGAUACAUGAAAUGUCAAUUGGCUUCCCAAGACUUGAAUUAAACUAUCUAAAUAUUGCUGACAAUUACUAUAUCAUGGCGAGGAAAGAAGUGUGGCUUACAUUAGUUUUCAUCUUUGCAUAUGAACUCAACUUCAUGCUAAUAGCAUCUCUUUCAAUAAACAAAGUCAUGAAUGGAGAACCACAAACAGGGACAUGAGCUACGUCUAUUCAACACAAUGCUCACGUAUAAAUCAUCAUACGCAUAUGCAUAUACAUACUUCUGCUCAUAAUCAGAUGUCAAUGCUAAAUCUCUAUCAUGCUUCAAUUUUUCACGGUCUGCGGAUCAAUAAAAAGGUAAACCAGAUGCGCACAUUCAAAUAUUAUAUAGCUUGUACCAAAAUAGACAUAGGGGGAAAUUCGCCGUUUUCGACGAUUCGGAACCCACCUCGACUCGCUAUGUCGACUCCAAUAAAAGAAAGGCCACACGCGACCCUUCUCACGAUUUCCCGAAGUUACUACAUACGACAAAAGGUUCCGAAUUACAAUUCAAGAAUUGAGAUUUCCAAUAGGGCUCAAUUCACGCACUUGGACACCCUGCGAGCAUCAAUUGAAGAUUAGAGGUGCGAAUCGUGCCGAUAGCAUCACACAAUCCAAUUCCAUCUUCCACUUCUUUCAUACUUUUUCUUUCUUCUUAUCUCUCUCUCUCUCUUGUUUUCUCUUUUUCUUUCCUUCUCUUUCUCUCUUGUGUUCUCUCUUUUCUUUCCUCCUUUCUUUCAUUUCUUCAUUUUCCUCUCUUCUUUUUCUUUUCUUUUCUUUUCUUGCUGCCCCUGCAGCAGCAGCAAUUUGCUGCUGCUGCUGGGCAGCCUGCGGCCCCAACCGCAGCAGCCUUGCUGCUGCUGCUGCUACAGUACCUCGCAGCAGCAGCAAGGCUGCAAAACUGCAGCAGCAGCAGCAGCAGCAGGGGAAGAAGAGGGAGGAAGGAAAGGGGGAAGAAAAGGAGAAGAGAGGAAGAAAGGAAGAAGAAAGGGAAGAAGAAGGAAAGGAAAAGGGAAAAAGUUAAGAAGUAAUUACCUCCAAAUUUUCUUCUUCUUCUUCGUCUUCUACUUCUCUCUUUCUCUUUUUUUUUUUUUCUUUCUCUCUUUUUUUCUGGCAGCUUCAAAGGGAGAGAGAGAGAGAGGGAGAGAGGGUAAGAUCAAUUGAUAUAGAGAGAGGGAGGGGAGAAGAUCAGGUCAUUUUGCAACUUAAUCCAAUAAUUUUGCUAUUUGCAAUAUGGUCCAUUAUAAUGAAAUAUUGACCCAAUUUAUCCGUUUUCGCGUCAAUUUCGCGCCAAAACGGUUUCACCUCAUUUCCACCCUCUUUCUCACACCUACACAAGUAUCACAAAUCCGCAUACUACAGGUAGAUUUAACGGCUAAAAAGUUACAACGCACAUAGUCUUUUGUGGCUUUACAAGCCACCAUAGCGGGACUCCUCUCUCUCUCCCUCCUCUCUCUCUCCUCUCUCUUCCCUCUUAUUGUUAUAUAUAUAUAUAUCGAGAGAGAGAGAGAGAGAGAGAGAGAGAGAGAGAGUAUGGCUAUUAUACUCUUAUGAAUAUAGAGCCCUUCGUACUCAUAAGUUGUUUUCGAUGAUGGAGCUUUCGAAUCCACGAUCCAUUCCGUUAAAUAUGAUCUAGAGUAUUUGAAACUCAUAGAAAAUAAAUUUUGUAAUUUUUCGAAAUCAUAAUAAAGUCCAUUAAGUGGGCAUAAAAUGAACGGUCAAAAUCGAACAACGUCCUAAAAAUGGAUGAUCGGAUCCAAUCUUUAUUGAACUUUAUCUAGGUAAUGAAUAGAAUUUCUCUAUAAAAAUUCAACCGAUUCAAAUUCUUUACACCGAUAAACUAGCAAGUAUCCCAUACCGGCCGUUAAAAAUUGUCAAUUUUGUGACCUUUUGAUCGUAAGCUAAAUAAUGUCGAAAAAUUAUAAAAUUUGAUUUCUAAAAGUUUAAAAUACUUUAGAUAACGUUUAAUUGUAUGGAUCGUCAAUUCGGAAGCUCUAUUAUUGAAAACGACUUAUGAGUAGGAGAGCGAUCGUACUCAUAAUAGUAUAGUAGCCGGACUAUAUAUAUAUAUUUAUAGAGUCCGGCUACUAUGCUAUUAAUAACACGAAGCACUUGGUGCUACCAAGUUCUCCUCCGUUAGAUCUAUCCUUUUGAUCAUUUUCACCCGUUAGAUCAUACUAUUCAACCAACCAAGCAACCACCCACUCAACCCUAGGAGGCCCACAUCAUCCUAACCGCACAUCUCUUAAUCCAAUGGCCAAAAACUUGGUAGCACCAAUGACUUGGUGCUAUUAAUAGUAUAUUAGCCUNNNNNNNNNNNNNNNNNNNNNNNNNGAAGGGAGACGAGAUCCCCCGUUAUAGGCUACAUACUAUUGGUAGAUGGAGGGCUUCCGUGCCACCAGUUGCUUCGAUGAUCGGUUCAAUCGCAUCGAUCGGUCUCGUUAAAUUGUCUCCUAUUGAUAAGUAUUCGGAGAACAAAAUUUCAGAUUAUUUGACAUCAUUUACUAGUGAUCAAAAGAUGCUCAAAUUGAUAAAUUUAGAUCGCUGUGGUGUGUUUGUGAGUUUAACGGUUGUCAACAAUCAAAUCGGAGAAAAUUUUUAUAGAUUUUCUUUCCUAUUUAGAGUAAGAUCAUAAUCUGAUUUUUUGAUUAAACUUUUAUCAUCUUUUUUAUGGAUUUUUAUUUUCAGUCGCUCCUUUUUAGACCCCCCUCUCUGUUUGAGUAGGUCGAGGAUGAUAUAAGAGUUAAUGAUUGUGUACUUUUCUAAAUACUCACUUUAUACUAUCGCUUAGCCCAAUCUAAAUGGAGCGUGUUCCGAUUGGAAGGCAUAUCGAAACAACUUGGUAGCCGGAGCUUCCGUGCUUACGUAGUCUAUGUAGCCUAGUGGUAUAUAUAUAUAUAUACUACCCUCAUGACUAAAUUACUUAUACUACUAAAUCUAGCUAUACUCAAUAUAAAUAAUCGAACGAACUAGGCUGGAAUACUAUUAAUAGCACCAAUGACUUAGUGCUAUUAAGUUUUUCACUCUUGCAUUAAAAGAUGUGCUAUUAGGAUGAUGUGGGCCCCCUAGGUUGAGUGGGUGGUUGGUUGAAUAGUAUAAUCGAUCGGAUGAAAAUGAUAAAAGAGAUAAAUCUAACGACAGAAACUUUAAUAACCAAAUGUGCUUCGUGCUAUCGAUAGUAUUCCAGCCGGACUAUAUAUAUAUAUAU